rnacentral:lncRNA from 1 species
CCUCCUCGCAGCCCCACGCCUGACGAACCGCCGCCGCCUCAUCGGGGCUCAUGUCCAUGAACACAUACGACUGCUUAUCACCAGAUUGCAAGCAAUCGAUGGCCCUGGCGGGGACGGGAGCCCACGGAUGGGCGCUGCAGUUAAAGAAGAAGGUGAGAUUGACGUCGGCGGAGUUGUAACCGAGCGGGAGCGAGUUGAUCGUGAGGUUAUGGCUGGCCCUGGGGCAUCUCCGGUCGGCGACGUCGAAGUCGACGAGAGUCAAGGUUUCUUCGACGUAGUUGAUUUCGGCGACGAAGUAGGCGUCGCCCCGAAGAAAGAUGGUCGGGGGCUCAUCGACAUACGAGCAACGGACGCCGAGGCCCGGGUAGCCGCAGUGUACGGAGGCGCCGCUGGCCGUCCAGAAUGGAUACUUGAUGGGGAUGUUGCCGCAUUGGUUAGACGAUUCGCAAAUGGCGGGGAAAGCGGAGUGGACGCUACGGAAGCUCAAUAAGAAGAAGAGAAAGCAGAGAAGGUGGUGGCUUGGCAUUUUUCUUUGUUCCUGUGUUGGUAAGGAAGAAGAUCAUCGUCUGGCAAUUUAGAAUGGACCGUCUAUAAUUAUAUAGUAAUGCGUUCAAAGUCUUACGUUGGGAGUAAAGACCACAUAAAUUUGACUUUUUUUUUUGCGUGCAAGAUUUGAAUAAUCCCGCGUGAAUAAAAUUUCUAAUAUGCUAAUAACGACUUACUAUGAUCAUAAAUCACUGGUAAAAACAACGCAUAAUUAUACCACUGUGUAGAAUUACAAAUUGAUGUUUAUAGGCGCUUUGAAUGCAAGCUCGUGGUUGGCUUACUUAAUUAAGUAAGAAGGUUAGAAAUUUCAUUGGACCAUAUCAUUUUUUUAGUCUAUUUUUUAUUCUCAUAUCCAUUUUUGUUUGAAAAGAAAGAUUGAUUUAGAGCGAGAUACACCAUUUUUUCCCUUAAAAAGAAGUUAGGGCUUGAUUAAAAUUUUUAUAAAAAAAAUAUUUAGGGGACUUUAAUAUAGUGUAAUUUUUCAUGAUUAAAUUUUAUGAAAAUACAGUCUUACACAAUAAAGCAGUGGUGGUCCAUAUUUUCUAUAUUGAGAAAUAAUGAAGAAGUUGAUGGAUCUUGCGAUUUAAAUCAGCAUAAACGCUUUAACUUGUUAAAUAUCUUUUGGUUUUUUACUUUUAGAUAUGUAUAUUUGCUCGAGCGGCUUUAAAAUUAACGAAGGGUUCGUGGCCUUCACGUUCAUUUUGUACAUCAAAGCUAGAAAAAUCGAAGAUGGUGUGAACUUAGUGUAGAUUCUUUCACUCCUGGUCUUUAUGUUAAGACAGUCUACACGAAACUUGACAUAUGGAAAAAGCGGUAAAGUCUGACUUUAAGCCAUUGAUUACGCCUUAAUUGCCUUCUAUUUAUAGGGGAAUCUCAUUGGUGGGUUUCUCAAGUAAGGGAAAAUUACCAACUAAUUUUAAAUUUAUUGUACAAAUGUCAAUUUAGUUCUAAAUUUUCCGAUUGUAUCAAUUUAAUUCCAUUAUAGUAAUUUAAAUUGAUUUUCAUUAGAAAUUGCAAACAUGGGUGUCCAUUUAUUGUCAGUGUCUUACGUGGCACUAUGAGUGAAUGGUUCUAGGUUCCAAACAAGUUUAACCUGGAAUCUGAAACCUACUCGUUGGAACAUGCUCCUUAAAAUUAGGAACCUGAACCUAUCCCAUCACAGGUUCUAGGGUUGGUUCUAGGGCCUACUCAGAUUCUACCUAUAUUAUUGAUGAAACAAUUACAAUAAAUUAUCACCUUUAAUAAACACCACUUGCUGCUACAAUUUACCGACUAUAAUUUAUAUUUAGACAUAUGAAAUAAAUGAAACAUUAAGAAAGUAAAAGUCUUAGUCAUAAAAUAGAAGCUUAAACUAAUAGUUCUAAAUUAUACACUCAUUAUCGAACACGAUAGAAUAUUGCAGGAUCACAUGAAGACAUAUAUUAAGAAAUAUACAAAAUCUUAUUUCAAAUUCUAGUUUACAGGUUUUAGGUUUUAGGUUCCAGUUCUACCAACCUAGAACUUAGAACCUAUCUGUUGAAGUAGGUCUCUUAAUUUUUGAAACUUAAAAACCUACUCUGCAUAUCUUAAAAUCUGGAAUAAGAUAAAUUCCCACUGGUCCAGUUCAUAGCUUCUAGGUUCUAUUUUGAAACCAUGUUUACCCUUACGAGGCACCCUGUCAUAUUAGCGAUUUUAGGUGAAAAUUGACCGAAAGAAUUAUAUUGGAAUUUUACGUGAAUGUAUAACAUUGGACAGUUUAAAACUGAAUUAGCAUCUACGUAAUAAAUUUAGGACUGAUCGGAUAAUUUUCCCUCUUGAGGAAUUGCGUCUCUAAUAGAUACAAAACUCCACAUCAUGCUAAUGAAUGAGAGAAAGCACAACAAAUAAUUAAAGCAUGCUAUUGUUGUGUAUCAAGACAAAAUCAACAAUCGGAACGUAUCAAGACAUAAUCGACAAUCGGAACAAAUCGCAUGCGCGGGACAUUAAGAUAUGUGAAUUUCAGUCAUAUAAGCAUGCCCAACACUUUCCUUCUUUCUCAAUUUGAUGAGCAAGACGAAAUUUCUUUCCAUGACUCUGAAGAGAAAGUUCAAUUCAUUGACUUUAGUAGAAGUGGCUUUACAUAUUUCUCAUACAAAAAAGUUAAUGAAAACAAAUAGAUGAUCACACCAUCUUGACAAGGUUUGGGUUCGUGCGGGGAUGGAUUUGCAAGGUCAUGAGCCCUUGGGGUUGCCUCGCUUAAGAUCGUGUGGCCUUGCCAUUGGCUUGUCUAGCCUCUUUGACGGUUCCGGUCUCAUCAUGAUUGAUUUGUUUCCAAGAUGGAGAUAAUGAACAGCAGCCAUGCCCUUUGCCCUUUUGUCACGCCCCGAUCCUCGAGCGUGCGCCCAUCCCUCAUUGGGCGAUUAAAUAGCGACGUCCCAGGAUGUAUCUCCGACUCUUUCAUUUUAAUACGCAUGCGAAAGUAGAUAUAAAAUCCCCAAACAAGAAAAUUAUGGGAUAGAAAAGUAUGACUAAUUUUUCACAAAAGACCUUUUAUAAUCACAUAGGUUUGUACACAGAAGCUUACAAAAAGGGAAUCGACUUUCAUCAAAAUAGAAUUGUCCUAUGACUAGUUAGUCAGACAAGGACGUCGAUUCUUCGAGUUUCACCUUCUAACUUCGGGCCUCGGUCUUCCACCAAUGUCAACUAGGGACUUGAAAAUGGUUAUACAAUAACCAGUGAAACAAUAUCUUAGCAAAUUUAACCCCCUAAAACCCGAUUAGAAAGCAAAUACGCCUUAAGGGCUGCCUAAGCACAACCACAAGUUAGACGACUUACCUUGACCCCAGUCUCCUUCUUGCAAGUCAAUAACGUUUAAUAUUUCAAUGAAUCAUAUCAACCAUCAAAACACUCAAUCAGAUCGAAUCAUCGAUCAAUCGACCUAGUCGAUUACAUAUCACCACGACAAUCUCUUGGUCGGCCCAUUCAAUACUAUCUAUGAAUCCGAUCAAAAUCCAAGAUUCCUCAAUCAAAGUGAAAUAUAGAUAGCACUAUCAUAUCUCCAGAUGACAUAUAGAGCCAUCGAGUGAGUAUGCAUAAUGUUCUAUCUCCAAGAUGACAUAUAUAGUCAUUGAGUCUUUAUGACAUACUUGUGCAUAACUUUCUAUCUCCAAUACGACAUAUCAAGUCAUCGAGCCAUUAUAACACACCGUUCUUCUCAAGAUGACAUAUAGAGUCAUCGAGUUGUUAUAUCAUACCAUCCUAUCUCCAAGAUGACAUAUAGAGUCACCGAGCCGGUAUACAAGCAAUUCCUUCUCAAGAUGACAUAUAGAGCCAUUGAACUGCUAAAUCAUAUCGUCCUUUCUCCAAAAUGACAUAUAGAGCCAUCGAACCGGUAUACAUGCUAUUCCAAUCAUACAAUAAAUUUACCAUUUUUGUCAUACCCAAUAAAAAUACACGUGUGUUGGUCGAUCUUAGCCAAAAUAUAAGGUUUUCACUUUUGAACCUCCUACUAUUUUCAGUAGUUCCAAAAUAGAUUUUUGGCGCUGUAGACCGAUGCUUGAUAAUUCCCCAAUUAAUUACCAAAAUUAUCCAAUUUAAGAAUAAAAUCCUAAAAUCACAAUUAAAUUAAUUCAGCACAAAUUAGAGCUCAAAUAAAUAAACAAAUUGCACCACAAUAACUAGCAUAAAAUUUUGGUCGUCAGCUAUCUCAGCCUAAUUUCUGGAAAAUAAAUAAAUAAUUAAAAAAUUACGAAAAUAUUAAAUAAAUGCCAAUAAAUCCAACUUAGGCCCAUAAUGCCUAAAUGGACACUGAAACAGACCCGGAAAAAUUCAAAGGUUCGUUUAAUAUAUAAUAGAACGUGUCUACUUGCUAAAUGCACUAACUAACCACCUAACAUGCAUCGGCAGUUAAUUAAAUUCACUAAUCUAAUCUAAUCUAACCACCUAAUCCAUCUUAGUCUAAACUAAUUAACCCCUAAGCACAAUUAACAUACUAAGUGAGUAUUAGUGAAUUAAACUCACCGGUUUAUUGCGAGAACCAAUUCACCGUGACGGCGGCCGAACUUGGGCUCGCAAUGACACAAACGGGCUUGGACCGGGCCUAAAACCGGCCAAACAAAUCUCAGCCUAAGCUGAGACUUGUUGCUGAAAUGGGCUGGACCAAAGUUGGGCUGACUUGGCGGGCCUCAAGAUGGCUAAAUUAUUGAACUGGGCUGCGGUUGGUGGACUGAAAAAUGGGCUGCUGGGCCCAAGCAAAGAAGCAGCAAGGACUGAAAUUGGCUGGGCCGCUGCAGCUGGAGUUCACGGGCCAAAGGUGGGCUUCAAAUGGUGUGGGCUGCUGCUGGAAUUUUGGUGGAAUCGUGGGCGGUGAUGCAGCGAAAUGGAGCAGAAAGCUUCGGUGGUGGCAUGCGGCAAGAGGUCUUCACGGCAGCUGCUUCGGUGGACGUUGCUGGAGACGGUGGCAGCUGGUGUAUGAAGGAGGAAGCAGCUGGGUCAACUUUGGGGAGCUUCUGCUGUGGUUUUGACUGAGCAAAACAAAGGCUGAAAUGGUGGAGGUGGCCUCGUGCGAGAAGAGAAAAAUGGAGUCAACAAUGGGGAGGAGUUCUGCUGGAGAUCUUGCUGGGUCGAUCGAGGGAGACAGAAGGUGGUGAUGGAGCAGCUUUCGUCGCUGCUUGAGGGAGAAAAAUGAAGUGGAGAGGGCGAGCGUGUGCAUGAGUGAGCGGUGGGAUGCUUCAGCAAAAUGCAUAGAAGAAAUGAAAGCGAAGCAAAAGACCAAGGAGCUGCAAGUUGUUUCAAAGAAAGUAAGAAAGAGAUAGAGGCGGUGAAGGGGGGGGGGGGGGGGGUGGUGUGAAGGCAGCGACGGGAGGCUAUGGCGUGCUCGAGAAGGCUUGGAAAAAAAGGGGGAAAAGUCAGAAAUUUUAUCUCCUCCAUCGAUUACUUGGUCUCCUAAUACUUUUCUCAACAUUUUAAUACCUCAAAUAUUUCAAAUUGAUUCCAAAAUUCCAGCCCUAAGCCUAGAUCUGAAUUUACUAAAUUUUCGCUUCAAUUUCUUCAUUCAAUUCUCCAAAUUGACGUCCAAAUUUGCCGAAGAAAAGUCCCACAAAAUUGUCCCACAAAAUAUCUAUAAGUCCCCAUCGUCAAAUAGCUCGGUUUAGAAACCCAAAUUUCACUUCAAUUUGGCCCAUUCGAAUUUCUGUUAAUUUUCGUAUCGACCGAACGAUUUUCUGCAAAAAUCUCGGAAUCUCCGAAAAUUCUUUAGAAGAUGAGUUGACGUUCCUAAAAUAGAUCGUGAUAUGACAGAACUUUCAAUUUUUAAAAUCGGGUUCAAAUUCGUGGUUAAUUUCAAUCUGAUGCAAUUUAAGCGUGACCUAGUCUACCGGGUAGCUUUUAUGAAAUUUUUAGUGCAAUUGACCCAUGAUCGAUUUAUCUCAAGUCACAAUGUACAUCUUCGACACAUUGACAACUCUCAGUUGUCGUGAAAAUCUCGAGAUUUCAAUUACGGGCGCAUGGUACCCAAAAUGACAGAAAAUCGGUCUAGUGCCGAUCAGUGAGAAUUUUACAAUAAGGUGGAAUCACCCACACUUCAUCACACACCUCAGUUGAAUUGACCUAUCUCCGGUCUCUGAUCGAUUUUUAAUUAUGCCGUAAUGACCCUUGCAAAUUAGCACGGUUGAGCAGUUGAUUCCUGGUCGAAUUCUCAAGUCUAUUGCGUUAAAAUCCCUUAAUGAUUUCCAUAGAUAGUCUAGUUAUUUCACGAGUGAUUAACUCGGAGAAUAAUACUAUAGGCACGUCGAUGAAGAGCUCGAUUUAUAUAAUUGAAAACAAAUUUUAAAAAUUCAAGCUAUCACACCCUCCUCCUCCCUUUUUUUCCUUUUAACUUAAAAUCCAUUUUGCAAAAAUACACAAAAAUUUACUUAACCAAAUGGUAUUUGCUUUGAGUAAAUGCACCUUAAAUGAAAGAUUUUUGGGGAAAUUACCUUGCAUGUUUGAGUAAUCCUACGUGUGUAAAAAGCUCCAAUACACUAAUAACGAUUACUAUAGUCGUAGGUCUCUAUUGUAGAAAUAGCAUAUAAAUAUGCUGAGUGUAUAGAAUUUUGCAUUAGUCUCUAUAUGCACUUAAGCUAGCACGAGCGUAUAAAUUAUCACAAGCUGUUCACUAGAAUUUGGCUCUUAUUUUGUUUGAUCCAUCCAUUGGGUUAGUGUUCCGCACGAAUUGGCUUCCGUAACAAAGUAUUUUUACUGAAAAUUGUUCGUCAAUUUUUAUUAAGGGAGAUAUGUUCUGUGAUGAAUUUAGAUAGAAAAUAUCACUAGUCAACAAGAAAGCCAUAAAAUUUACUUUAAAUGAAAUUAUAGGUAUACAAAUCAUGUCAGAAUUUAAUUGACAACAUGUAAGAGAUUCUCUGGUGGGUUACAGUAAUUGAUAUUAUAAUUUACCGUUUUACGGAAUUAGUCUAAUAAAGUGAGAUGAGGACUUUUAACUAGUUAAAUAUGGGGUUGGCUAGCUUAGAGAGUCCGUGGCUUAAAACUUUAUAAAUUAUACUCAAGUCUCUCCUCUAAUCCUGAUAUAUAAAUAUCCUCACAUGAGAAGCGGGUAUAAAACUCUAAAGAUGAGGGGACAGUCUUAUUAAGCCAAUGAUACAGAUGGCAAUAGAAAAGAAGUGCUUGAGUUUUGAAUCAUCGCUAUUCCACAUCAAGAAUGAUGGAUUCCAAAUCAAGCGUGUCAAUCUCUUUUACUCGAUUAUAUGUGUUUUUGAUUCUAGUUAUGGAGAUCUUGAGUGUCGUUUUCAUGGCUUACAUGUAGUAUUAGAGUAGUCCUUCGCCUAGAACUUGAACGUAUGGAUUAGGCUAUUUUUGAAAUUUGUUGUUGGGUAAAACUUGAUUUUGAUUGCAUAAAAUGUAAGAGCUAGUCGAGACCAGCGUUUUGACAUGCAACGCACAACUAAGGGAGGUCGUACAUGCCCCCAUGCAUCAUUGGGUGGCGACUACGUCGAGCAUGUGCCCCCACGCACGGUGAUGGCUAGUGCAUGACGCACGUGCUAGGGCUGAUGUCAGCGGACGACGACCUAGGUGACUUGGCCUAACCCGUUGACCUGCCCGAACUGGUUUUGUCAUUGACCGGAUUUGUUAAUCGAUCGGAUCAUAAUUGGUCGAAGUGCCACCUGGUCGGAUCGAUGAACCUAGUCGGACAAGAGCUAUUUGUGUAGUGCAUGCGCUUUGCACUCAGGCAGUGUGUGCAGACGUGUGGAAGCUCCGAUUGGUGCGUUAAAAUUAAAAUCAGCGUAAACGUUUUAACUUGUGAAGUAUCUUUUGGUUUUUUACUUUUAGAUAUGUAUGUUUGCUCGAGCCGCGUUAAAAUUAACGAAGGGCGCGUGGCCUUCGCGGUCCUUUUGGAUAUCAAAGCUAGAAAAAUCAAAGACAGGUGUGAACUUAGCGUAGAUUCUUUCACUUUUGUCCUUUAUGUAAAGACAGUUUACACGAAACUUGACAUAUGGAAAGAGCGAUUAAGUCUGACUUUAAGCCAUGAUUACGCCUUAAUUCCCUUCUAUUUAGAUGUGAAUCUCAUUGAUGGGUUUCUCAAGGGAAAAUUACCGAACUAAUUUUAAAUUUAUUGUAUGAAUAUCAAAUUAGUCCUACACUUUCUAAUUGUGCCAAUUUAAUCCCAAAAUAGUCAUUUCGAUUGAUUUUCACUAGAAAUUGUGAACAUAGUUGUCCAUUUAUCGCCGGUCAUCUUACGUGGCAUUAGGGGUGAGUAGUUCUAGGUUGUGUAUAAGUUCUACCUAGAAUCUGGUACCUUCUUGUUUGAACAUGUUCCUCAUUUUUUGGAAUCCGAAACUUACCUUAUCAUAGGUUCUAGGAUUAGUUCCAAGGUCUACUUAGGUUCCACAUGUAUUAUUGAUGGAACAAUUGCAGUAAAUUAUCAUUUUUAAUGACCAUUACUUGCUACUACAAUUCACUAACUAUAAUUUAUAUUUAGACACAUGAAAAAUAUAAAACAUUAACAAAAUAAAAGUCUUAGUCAUAAAAUGGAAGUUUAGACUAAUGGUUCUAGAUUAUUCACUUAUUAUCGAAUACUAUAGAAUAUUGCAAGAUCGCAUGAAGAUAUAAACCAAUAAAAAUACAAAAACUUGUUCCAGGUUAUAGUUUACAGGUUCUAAGUUCCAAGUUUCGGUUCCACCAACCUAAAACCUAGAACCUACUUAUUGAAAUAGGUUCCUCAAUUUUUUAAACCUAAAGCUACCUUGCAUACUUUAGAACUUGAAAUCGAACAAGUUUCCACUGGUCCAAUUCACAGGCUCCAAGUUCUACUCUAAAACCAUGCUUAUUCCAACAUGGCACCUUACCAUAUUAGCGAUUUUGGGCAAAGAUUGACCAGAAAAAUUAUAUUGAAAUUUCGCAUGAAGAUAUAAUAUUAGAAAUUUUAAAAUUGAAUUGGCAUCUAUACAAUAAAUUUAGGACUGAUUAGAUAAUUCUCCCUCUUAAGGAAUUGUGUCUCUAGGAGAUACAAAACUCCACAUCAUGCUAAUGAAUGAGAGAAAACAUGACAAAAAAAUAAAGCAUGCUAUUGUUGUGUAUCGACAUAAUCGACAAUUGGAAUUAAUCGCAUGCGUGGGACAUUAAGAUAAGUGAAUUUUAGUGGUUAUUAUAGUCAUAUAAGCACGUCCAACACUUUCCUUCUUUCUCAAUUUGAUGAGCAAGACGAAAUUUCUUUCCAUGACUCUUAAGAGAAAGUUCAAUUCAUCGAAUUUAGUAGAAGUGGCCGUACAUAUUUCUCAUUAAAAAAAGUUAAUGAUAACAAAAGAGAUCAUCACACCAUCUUGAUGAGGUCUAGGUUCAUGUAGGUCUGGAUAUGCAAGGUCGUGCAACCCUUGGCAUUGCGUCGCUUGAGAUCACGUGACCUCGGCAUUGGCUCGUCUAGUCUCUUUGAGGUUCGAAUCUCAUCGUGAUUGAUUUGUUUCCAAGAUGGAGAUAAUGAACAGUAGCCAUCCGCUCUAUCCCCUCCCCCCUUCCCUCCCUCCUUAUUUUUUUUUCCUUUUAACUUAAAAACUAUUUUGCACAAAUACACUAAAAUUCACUUAACAUAAGCACCUUAAAUCAAAGAUUUUCGGGGAAAUUAUUACUUUGCAUGUUUGAGUAAACCUACGUGUAUAAAAAGUUCCAAUACACUAAUAACAAUUCCUAUAGUCGUAGGUCGCUAUUGUAGAAAUAGCAUAUGAAUAUGCGAGCGUAUAGAAUUUUACAUCAGUCUCUACAUGCACUUCAGCUAGCACGACAACAAGUCCAUUUUUCAUAUCAUCCAAGAAACACAUAUUAUCACAAGCCGUUCACUAGAAUUUGACCCUUAUUUGUUUGAUCCAUCCAUUGGGUUAGUGUUCCACACGAAUUGGAUUCUACAACGAAGUAUUUUUCAUUGAAAAUCGUUCUUCAAUUUUUAUUAAGGGAGAUAGGUUCUGUGACAAUUCCAGAUAGAAAAUAUCACUGAUCAACAAGAAAGCCAUGGAGUUUACUUCAAACGAAAUUAUAGGUACACAAACUGUGCCGGAAUUUGAUCGACAACAUAUAAGAGUUUUUCUGACGUGGGUUAUAUUAAUUGAUAUUGUAAUUUACCAUUUUACGGGAUUGGUCUAAUAAAGUGAGACACAAGGAUUUUUAAUUAGUUUAAUACGCGGUUGGUUAGCGUGGAUUGAGUAAAGCCCGGCAUGUAUUGAGAGGGUCUGUGGCUUAAAAAUUUAUAAAUUAUACUCAAGUCUCUUCUCUGUCCUUGAUAUACAAAUAUCCUCACAUAAGAAGUGAAUAUGAAACUCUAAAGGUGAGGGAUAGUUUCAUUGAGCCCGUGAUACAAAGGGAAAAAAAAAUGAGAAGCACUUGAAUUUUGAAUCGUCAUUAUUCCGCAUUAAAAACGAUGAUUUCAAAUCAGGUGUGUAAAUCUCUUUUACUUGAUUAUAUGCGUUCUUGAUUCUAGUUAUAGACAUCUUGGGUGUCAAGCCUUGGACCUUGCCUCAUCAUAGGAACACGACAUCCACUACGAGAUUAACUUGCGAUAUCUCAAAAGACGUUGUCGUCCCAUUGAUUUUUUAUCUUUCAAUUAAGCACAUACGGAAGUGUGUACAUCAACAAUAGACGAGGAUAGCAAGGAAAAUGCACUUAUACCAUACAAUUUAUAUAUGCUUUAUUAAUAUAUCGGACCAAUUCAUUUACAAGCCCACUUCUUUGGGGCCAUUUCGAUUUUCAUCCCACAAAAAGAUAUAGGGGGAGGGGUUCACAAGCUUUAGGGCGAGCCUAUCUUCUCUAACGAGAUACUAACAAAAAACGACUCCCCUAUGAGGAGUGACUAUCUAGGCAUCAUCUACUAGGCUGUCAGGCGGACAAUCGUCCUCAUCCGGUGUAGGUGAUCCGCAAAGCCCACAAAGGGGCCUGAAGAGAUCCCCAUCAAACCACGCGUACCAAGCUUGGUAGCUAUGAGGGACGAGAUCGCAACAGACCUCAUCCACCCAAAGAGUAGUAGUGAUCCUUCGAAAUGCAGUAUCCUCUCUAAGCACAUCCAUGACCGUGACCUCCAUACUCAUGGACAUCCCAAAUCGCAUGAAAUAAACAAGCAGUGGAUCCACACCUAUUGGACUAAAAAAAAAAGAGUUAAACAACAAUAAACGAGUUGAAAACUUAAUAAGUAAAUAACCUAAACCUCGUAUAAGUGGAUGCCUCGCAUUGAAACCUUAAGAACACUCAACCUAAUAUGUCGAUGGCAAGUCAAUAGCAAUUGCUUUGCUUUAACUAUAUACAUGAAAGGGGACCCUUAGCCACCUAGCAUCAACAACCUACGGAAUGUCACAUACUCAUAACAAUCCUACACGGGCCAAUUAAUGACAUUAAAAAUUUAUACGUGCUUCACAAGUCACAAUUAUAACAUAAAAAAUUCACACGUGUCAUACAACGACCUCAAAGAUAUUACCAUGGCUCUCGUUCCUCAAAUAAUAUCAUCCAAAAUGUCUACGUGCGUCUCUCAUCACAAUUUAUGAUAGUUAACUCGUACCCAAGCCCUUUCAUAUCAUAAAAAUGACCAGUAAAUUAUGCACGUGCCUCAUGCAUCAUAAAUAAUGACAUACGACAUGUAUGUGUCACCAAAAAUCACUUCACAAGUAUGCACGUCACUCACAAAUACUUCACAUGCACUGUCACCUCAAGAAUCACAUAAUACCUUAUAAUAUUAUGCUAUCUCAAGUCCAUUCAAUUAACACACAUAAUUGAAACCCUUUGCUUCUUUCGGAAACCUCUGGGACAUCGUCUUGCCCCAUUGAGCACAGCAUCGGAACACCUUCGGACAUCCUUUUGGGCAUCGUUCGGUAACCAUCACUACGAACGGCAUCCGAAAACCUUUGGGCAUCAUCCUUUGACGUCUCUCAGUGGCGGCAUCAUCCUCUGAAACCUUUGGUGAUGGAAUCCCUCGUGUGACCAUAUGAAUAAAGCACACAAUCAGUUUUAUUUCCCACUUUAGUCCAAAGCAUGAGUGCCCCAAGGGCAUGCCAAACGGUGUGUAACUCAUAACCUAUUGGAAAUGCAUCAAUAAAAUAUGACGAGCACGGAAUGAGAACCGUGACUUGACCCAUUACGUUGGAGCACUGGCCUAAGUCAAACUUGGAUUAGGCGAUACGCCUCAAUAUUGCUGAACUAAGAGAGUGACUUAGCCCAGCGUGCUUCCACGCAUGUCCAAGAACCAACGCAAUUCUAACUUUGGAGGCUCGGUAUGGUUCAAGUAUUGAUCAUGACUUAUAGACAUCUACAUACGAAGACCACAUCCAUAAAUCAAUAACAAUCCUUUACAAUCAAACAUAGUAGCAUCACAUAUUGAGGACACAUCCAACAAUAAUCACAACACAUAAUGUCUAAGCUUAAUUAACAACCAAAGUAGAACCACAAGCGACAAUCACAAUAUUACAUCUAGAGAACUAUAACAAAUCUUGAAAACAAUACUAAUCUACAUCACAUAAGAUUACACGUCCAACCCUAACAACCAAACAUAAGAGCUAAACCUAGAUAUUGAUAAUCCACGGGCCACAUACAACCAUCAUGGCAAUUUCUCUAGACCGAGCAAUAACAUAUGCAUAAACAGUCUAUUAUCACUAACAACGACAAUCUUAAUCAAUUAUAACAUAUUUCCAAACCUUAUAGCCCAAGCACAUCAUGAACAAACCAUACAAAAUUAAUCACAUGAGCUUCUCUACUUAGAAUAGCUCUAACAAUACAAAAAUUGAACCUAAAUCGAGUUACGUAAUGCAACGACCUAGCCGAUGUUUAGAAAAUCUACUUAUGAAAAAUCGAGACAAAGGUGAGGGUGGUUGGUGGUGCUGCUCGGUGAACAGCAAGGUGAUGGCGAGAUGGCACGAGGGUGGCAACGACAAUGGCAGGCGGCACAACGGAUGAGUGGGUGAGCGCCAAGCAGAGAGAGAGAGAGAGAGAGAGAGAGAGAGAGAGAGAGAGAGAAGAGGAUGAGGGAGUGGUUGGCCAAAUGAGGGAGAGAGGGGGAGAAAUGAGAGAAAAGUGAGAGAAAGAAAAAGAACUUUUUUUUUUUGGUCAGUAAAGAAAAAGAACUUGGAGAGGAAGAUAAUUAAGGAGAGAGAAAAUGUCACUUAAGCAUUUAUUGCAAGCUAAAUUAUUAUCCUAAGUUCAUGAUGGCCUCAAAGCUUGCUUGGCAAGAGUGAAUCUCUACCUUACAAGUGUCAAUCCAAUGGCUCAUCUUAUCGAAGUUUGUUCUUCAAGUUUACUUGGCUAAUAAUGCUCUAGUUCAAGAACAACUAGUCUAGUUGCAAAAACUAAGCUUGUUCCUCCUCAUUGCUUCUCUAAAGUGGCACCCAUACCCUUCUAGAAGGGAGGGCUACUUGAUUUUGGUUUCACUCAAUUUAAUCUCAAGAAGUGAAAUUGGUCUCAUCUUUAGGACUACUAAAGUUUAUAUCCUUAAAUUAGCACAUUUCCUCAAUUAUUGCACUAAUGGACUCACUAAUAUCAUCUCAAUUGGAUAGGAAUAUCUUAAUAACAUCUACAAUCGAUACCUGUAAUUGGACUAGGGUUUGUGGUUAAGUUCUGAUUGGAAACGGCCUUAAUGUGACCUAUGCAAAUUUGGGCAGCAUUGGUGGAACUCGCGUGGCCAGACUUGAAUUGAUUUCGAUACCUAUUCGGGAUUUUACACGUGACUUUUAUUUGAGCUUGGUCGGCCCAUUAAUGACCCUUGAUUGUCAUGUAAUCAAAUAGGAUCGAUCUUGCCUUGGACUCAUAGUCAUUUGGAAUAGGAUUAGGAUCGUUUACAAAUAGCACAUUGACUGUGUGGCGUCACUCACGACCGAUGUAUAGUCGAGCUGAAUCAAUCUAUACCCGUCGGUUGAUCGACUCAUGAUGGCACAUGAUCGUCCAUAUCGAUAUUUAUGGUCGAACGGUCCUUUUCAUGGUUGACUACUCUGAUCCAUCAAAAUCCUAAUCCUGAGUCGCCUUGUCCCUAAUCGGCUAGUUGGCUUGUGAACAAUCUCUAAGAUUGAGUCACAGCCUAUUCUCGUUACUGGCAUACUGAUCCUUAAUCAAUUCCUUACGGCCGAGAUAGGGGUUCAAAUCGAGGAUAUCACAUUGGGUGUUAUUUUUGCUGCCUACAUGUGGUAUUUGAGUAGUCCUUAGCCUAGAACUUGAAGGUAUAUAUUUUGGCUAUUUUCGAUUUUUUUUUUAUGGGGCGAGAAUUGAUUUUGAUUGCAUAAAAGGUAAAAGCUCAUUGAGUGUUUUGACAUGCGGCGCACCACUAGGGGAGGCCAUACGCAUUCCCACAAGCUGUUGGGCGGUGGCGUGCGUCAAGCAUGUGCCCCCACAUGGCAAUGGCUAGUGCAUGAUGUAAUGCCGGGAUUGAUGUCAGUGAACAACGACCUAAGUGACCCGACCCAACCCAACCCAACCCAUUGACUCGCCCAAAUUGGUUUUGUCAUUCACCGGACCCGUCAAUCGAUUGGACCAUAAUCGGUCGAAGUGCUAACCGGUCGAAUUGGUGAACCUAGUCGAACAAGAGCCGUGCAUGUACUGCCCAUGCCUCACACUCAGACAGUGCGUGCGAGCAUGUGGAGGCUCCGAUCGGCGCAUUCUUGGAGCUACGUGCUUGUAUCGAGAUGCUUUAUGCUAUAGUAUGUUUAUUUUACAUGUUUGAUAUUUUAAGGAUGUGAAAAUACUUAUGGCAUCCUAUAUACAUGUACUUUUAGCUUAUUUUUGCAUAUUUUCCUAUGUUUCUCUAUAUUCUCGGAAAUACAAUUGCUAGCUCACAUGUAUUUCAUUACAUAGAAAAUAUGAACAACGUGAUUCAUUUAUACUAUGUAUAAUUUAAUAUAUAACAAUAAAUAGAGCAUUAUUAUUGGCAUAGCAUGUAAUUUUAGUGACAAAUUGUCCAUGUCUUCAAGUCUAAAAUUACAUAUAUAUGGUGAAUGUGAGAUAUAAAGUUUAUAUAUCUAAUAUGAGAGAGUUUCAAGAAUUCAAUCGAGUUAUGAUCGUCAAAGUGGCACACUUGAUUAGGUUUGAGAAAUAUCGGUCUUAUAUUAUGGUAAUAUGUCUUCCAUUCUGAUCCAUGGUUAUACUUCUAGAGGAGAUAAUUGUGUAUUGACUCAUGUACGUAUACAUGAACAACAUAUGGUUGAGGAAUGAGUCGUGAUUGAUCCUAGUGGUUUAUUUACCUAAAGGUGAUGAAUUCAUGAAUGUUAAAAUAUAUUCUUAUAGCCGCUAUCAUAUGGAGGGUAUACAAUUACAUGUCAUAUAUUGUCGAAAGGUGACCAUGAGAUGAUGUAUGUAAUCCUUUGGAUGUAUACUUAUACAGUUUUAAGUUACACAAUACUCACAAAAUGCUAAUUGUAUACAUUGCUUGUUUUUAGUCACAUUCUUUGUUAACGACAACUCUAUUACUAUUGAGAUUAUUACUUGUUGAAACUUUAAGAAAUGGAGAGGGUUUUCUAUUUAGGAUGGAGCUAGCAGAUGUUUAUACUGCUCUUACUGUGGGUGAGUCAGUAGAUCUGAUAGUAUGUAAACACAAAAAGUACACUUUGCUGCUUGGGAAAAUAGCAAUUGGAUUUACUUGUUAUCUAUGAAGCGAUUCAUUUAGAAACACUUGAAAUGUGGUUUAUCAACAGACUGCAUUGCUAGACAGAUGAUGAAAGUAUUAGUUGCAUGAAAUCAUGUCUCGUCUAAUGCUGAGAUAGGGAGACCCUACAAGCACUCUUCAAUAUAAAGGUAUGAUGGUUUUAAUGGAGUUAGGGAUUACAUUCUAAAGAUGGUAAUUUGCAAACAAAACUUUAGGCUCUUAAUGUUACUAUUCUUGCUACUUGCAUUGUGCAUCAAGUUUUAAACACUCUUUCUCUUGAUUUUGGGAUUAUUAAGACUUAUUACAAAUCCCAAGAAGAGACCUAGUCAAUUAAUGACCUGAUAGCAAGGGUGGUAGCCAAGGAAGAGAAACUGAAGAAAGAGAAAUGACACUUUACCCUGUAUGCCUCUAGUUCCGACAAUAAGAAGAGUAAGAAGUUUAAAAUUCGUACUUAUAAAGGAACUCCUAAAACCGCUAAUCCUUCUAAUAAUAUGGGUCCUAAGAAAGUGUCUUUCAAGAAGGAUUGUGUCAUUUGUUACUUUUGUAGGAAGAUAUGACAUAUAAAAAAACAUUGUGACAAAUAUAAAACUUGGUUGUCCAAAAAUAAGCAUGAACAUAAUGAUUUUUUAGCAUUAGUUUAUGAAUCCAACAUAUUUGAAGCCCCAUCCAGUUCUUAUUGGUUAGAUAGCAGUGCAACUAAUCAUAUUUCAUUUACUAUAGAGUGAUUCAUAAACUAAAGGAAGCCAAAUCAAAAUGAAUUAAAGCUCACUAUGGAAAAUAACAUUAAAGUCGACGUCGAGUUUGUGGGAGAUGUUAUUUUAAUUCUAGAUUCGGAUUUUAAUUUGAUGUUAAGGAGCACUUUUUACGUAUCUUCCUUUAAACGAAAUUUAGUUUUCCUAUCUUAUUCGAACAUGUGUGGCUAUUCUUUUGAAAUAAAUACCAAUAGUAUAUCUAUGUUUUUUUAAUUUAAAUAAAGUUGUGUGUUGCAAUAUAUCCGAUAGAUUGUGUUUAUCUCCCGGUGAUAUAUAUGUCGCUUAUUUAGCCGAAAAAGGUUUUUCCAAAAGAUCUCUACUUAAGGUUGUCUUAUGCAUUGUGGCAUAAACGUCUUGGUCACAUUUCUAGAGACCGUAGAAAGGCUAAUAAAGGAAGACAUCUUGCCUAUUUUUAAAAAUGACUUAGAGACUCGCUUAGACUAUUGUAGAGGUAAUAUAACUAAGAUAAAUAAGAAAACUGCAGUUCAGAGUUCUGACUUGUUGUCAUUCACACUAAUAUACGGCAACCUUCUGUAGAAACUUUUAUUUUAUCACUUUCAUUGACGACUAUUCCUGAUAUGGAUUUUUGUAUUUGAUUAAGCAAAAGUUUGAAUCCCUUGAUAAGUUCAAGAUUUUUUGGACUAAGGUUGAGAAGCGGUUGGAGAAAUUCGUAAGGUUGUCGGAUCUAAUCGUGAUGGUGAGUAUCUUGAUAGGCAUGGUGAUGCUGGACAGCUUAAAGGGUCAUUUGUAAAAUACUCGAACAAUUUUAGGAUAGUAACUCUGUCACGCCCCGAACCCUGGGUACACGCACAUCCCUCGGCAGCCGACUAAAUUGCAAUGUCCUAGGAUGCGUCCUCGACCCCUUUUUUUAUGCACAUGCAGAAGCGAACUCAUGACCCUAGACAACAAUCAAAUACAUGGGAUAGAAAAGCAGGACAACCUAUUUUUCUCAAAACACACUUCAUAAACAAACCAAGUUAAACCUACAGGUUCAUAUACAAAGGCCUGACUUAAAAGAAACCACUAGGCCAUCUACACUAUGGACCCUUCAGCCUUAGACUCUAGAUUCUCCAUGUUACGGCCCUAAAAAUGGUAACCCACGACGGGGUGAGAUAAAAAUUUCAGCGAGUUAAACCCUAAGUCCCGACUAGGGCGAGAAUUCACUCAAAGGCAUUCUAAACAUGCGCCAUCCAGAACUUACCUUGUUUGGGCACGUCCCUGCACAUUAGUACAUCUCAUAUGCACUCAUAAACGUAGCAUGUGUAAUCAGCAAUUGAAACACUUCAUAACACUCAUCGAAUAUUCACAGAAGUCUCAAUUAUAGGGCCAAAUUGUUAUGACACAUUUUGUGCCACACGAUUUCGUCCCAUAAUCAAGUGUAGCUAUCUCAUAUCAGUGAUUCAAUCUACACUCGAUAUUCACUCUCAAUAUCCAAACUCCACCUUCCAACUCAAUAAUCAAACUCAAGGUUUUAGAGGUGCCUCUCUCAUGAAGUUCAGUUAUCAUGUGGCACUUAGUUCCUAACCACAAUCAGCUACAAUACAAGAUUCCAGAGGUGGCUCCCACGAAAGUACUAGAGGUAGCUCCCAUGAAAUCACGUUAUCGUGUAGCACUUAAUUCUCAACUAUGCAAGAUAGUAGCGCAAAAUUCUAGAGGUGACUACCAUGUGACUCAGUUCACCAUGUAGCACUUAAGUCUUGACUAUGAUAAGCAAUGGUACAAGGUUCUAGAGGUAGCUCAUAUGAAGUUUUGUUAUUGUGCACACUUAGUCAUUUACCUGCUCACAACCAUUCUUACAUCAUCAAGCAUAACUUAUAAGCAUAUCAUAGGUCAACCACAUCACCAAAUAGGCAUGGUUCAGUAAGCAUAGCAUCAAGAACAAUCACCAAAACUAUUACCAGUCCUAACCGGCAGAAACGGUCCACUCGUGCGUCUCCGAGUUUAAAUCUAGAAAUCUAAUCAAACAAGUUCAUAAAAUUUUCAAAUUUGAAUGUAUUAUAAAGGACACAUAAAUGAACUUUUUUUAUGAAAACACCUUAACCCAGAUCAUUCUAGAUUAAGCCCAUUAAAUCACUCAAUCUAGUACAAAAAAAUGAGUCCGUUUCCAGAAAGUUUGUUUUCCAAAACCAGCUUGGUUCGAGAUUCAAAGUUUGUCCAUUUGAUCUGAAAUUUGAUUAUGUUAAAUUACAAGAUGUGAAAAACAAUUUUUGUGAAGAAACCAUUUCGAAAUUUGAAUCCUAAGAGUAGAUAAAAAUCCUUUGAAUCCCAAAUGGUCACUAGUUCCAGCAAAAACAGAGAUUCUGUUUUCAAAUGAUGGAGCUGAAAUAUCUUUUUUUUUUUUUUUAAUUCCUAAAAUCUUGGAUAAAAUAUAUGUCAUAACUAAGUAUGUCUAAAAUAUUUUUCGAGAAGGAAUCAAUUUCAAAAUCUCAGUACAUUUCGAUCCAUGAAAAUGGCAAACGGUGAGGGUCUAGAAAUCAUAACUGAAGAAAGUCCACCGAAUUGGACUAAUCCAACCUCAUUAGUGCUAAUCUCAUCAAUUAGAUCAACACUAAUCCAUCUUAAAGCUAAUCUAACUAUUCUAGAUUAGCACUAAUCCAUCUUAAAACUAAUCUCACUUAGUACUAAUUUAACUAAGCUAAUUAACACUAAACUAACCUCCUAAGUGCAAUUAACAACCUAAUCAAGAAUUAGGGAAUUAACUUACCGGAUUAGUGAGCUAAUGGGUUCAUGGCAACGGCGACGCGAAGGCGAUGAGAUCCCGUGACUUUGGGGUCACCAACGAAGGCUCAGAUCGGGCUAAAAAUAGCCAACCAAGCUUCACGAUUUGGACUUGAAAAACGGUUCUGCUUGGUUCUGGUUCGAGGGGGCUGAGUUGUUGGGUUCAAGGGUUGUUGGUGUGACUGGAACAGGCAGGAGGUGCUAUUGGAUGGUGGUCGACCAGCAGCAAGGGAGAAGAAGAAGUUGCUAGCGUGAAGAAAGCUGGAGGUGGAGGAGGAAGUCGCUGGCGUUGGAGUUAUGGUUGUGGGGCUAUGGACAUUGGUUGGUGGGUGAAUGGUGAAGUGGAGUAGCUCAUGUGAGUGGAGCGGCAAUAGAGAAAAAUAAAUAGAAAAAGGAGGAGAGGGGAUGCUGGAUGGUGAAACAGAUGGGACUAGCGUCAAUGAGGAGUCACAAUAGUAGGAUUGAAGGGGAAAUGGAGAAGGAAAUAGGCGUCUGGUCUGCUGGUAAUGGGGCUAAACGUGGGGGGGGGGGGGGGGGGGGGGGGGGGAGGGGAAGAAAGUGUGGCACCCCCAAACAGCUAAGGUCGCCACAGAUACUUAUCACUCCACCUAAUGAAUACCAGUUACAUAUUUUUGAUAUAAAGAGGUUUAAAGAAGGACCGAGGUCUAGGCAUUUUUUUUUUAAAAAGAGUUUAGCGCAGCUCAUAGUGAAAUUAAAGACGAGUCUCACCAUCCCUCUACUCUCUUAAUGAUGGUACAAUGCACACCAAUUACACAUCGAAGGAAAACAUAAAGCCGAGCCACUUCGAGCCACUUUUAUUUACAAUUUUAAGAUGGACAUCUUGGGUCGGUAUAACAAAAAAGCCAAGACUUUUAGCUAAACUUGGCUACAGCUCAAAAGAGAGAUCUCGACCCCAUACAUCGAUCAUGUAUAACCCUCCAUCUACAAGUGUCGGCUAUUCCCAAAAAGUCAGCUCCCCCUCCUCACGCGGGCCAUCACACCCAUCUUGGUGCAUCGGGCGGUGGCGGCAGCAACAUCCCCCGUAUCACUCCAUCACAGUGGACGUGGACAGACAAGAACUCUUGGAUGACUGGGCCCCCAGUUAGGCCCAAUUCAUACAUCACCAACACCCGAACCCGUAUGAACGUCAAACCAGGGAUGAUGACACAAUCAAGCUCCGUACAAUUGACCUCCACGUCAGAUGGAAGGCCGUAAAAGGUACCCCGCGUGACCGGAGAGAGAGGCAUCUUUCUAUUCUGAAAUGUUGGUCCCCAAAGGAGUGAGUACAACCACUCAGCAGGUAAAAGAUCCAUUAAGCUACUCAAUGCAUCAAACAGAACAAUCAUAACAUCAUAGUAGAGUACAUAUUAUUUAUGCAUCCAAGCAUAACUUACCUAACAGCCAUGCAUAUGUCAUCAUAUCAUAUGUGCAUACACCAUCAUGCACUUAUCCAUAUUAUAUCAUACAUUCAUGCAUACAUGUCAUCAUAUCAUGCAUGAUUCAAUUUCAAUUCUUUUAUUUUUCAAUUGGGUCACCACAUUUUUCUUUCCCGGGACCAGUAAUUUGCAUCCCACAUUCUAUUGCUCGCACCCAACCUGGCAUCGCGAGGAACCUCCGGCACACACCUCCGGGCAUCUCGUAUCCCAACCAGCAUCAUGAGGUAUCCCCCGGCACACACCUCCGAGGCUUCCGGCACCCCAACAUUCCGGGCAUCUCGAAACUCCCAAGGACAUCUGGUACACACACUCCGGGCAUCCGGCACCCCCACACUCCAGGCAUUCCAACACUCCCGGGUCAUUGUCAGCUCACACCUCCGACGAUAUCCUCAUUUAUCAUAAUUCAUAUUCAAAUUUGUAUCUCAAUAUCAACAUGGCACAUGAUGUAAUGGCAACAAGAUCAAUUUCAGCUUUUGUUAUUUGCACAAUCCAGCUAGUACAGUUUUAGAAAACAUUUUCAUUAAAUACCCAAAUGACAUUAAAAAAUUAUGGAAUUCGAACAUGUGAUGGUCAAAACAUAAAGGAAGAUACUUCAUGCAGAACACUACACCAAAAUAUUCCCAUAUAGUUCAAUACAGAACACGCAUCACAGCACUACUAAUUCUGUCCGUUCCACUUGCACAGUUUUUUGAAACAUUUUUGGUUAAAUAGACAAAGGAACUUCAAAAAUUACGAAAUUUGAAUAUGUUGUAGGCAAGAAAUAAAAAAGAUAUUUCAUGCAGAACACUUUUCCAAAAGAAUCUCAUACAAAACGGUAUAGACCACGCAUUGCAACAUUACCAAGUCCGAACGCAUCAGAUUACACAGUUUUAGAAACAUUUCCGAUUAAAUACCCAAAUGACCUUCAAAAAUUAUAAAAUACGACUAUGUGAUAGCCAAGACCAUAAGGUAAAUACUUCAUGAAGGCAACGAAGUCAGAUUCGCCCUAGGUAAUUAAAUAUAGGCGAUUAAAACUUCUGUUUCUAGUACCGAAAUUUCCAGAUCCAGUCUUUCCAAAGAAUAAUGAUUUCACCCACUUGUUUGUUUUGUCCCAAAUUUGAGUAUGUUAUACUCCAAGAAGUCCUUUACAACUUUCAUUUAGAGAUCAAAGCCAAAACUCGACUAGAACAUCACAUGCAAGUCACUAUAAUAUCCAAGGUCGAGCUGUUUUUCUCAAAAACAAUACACUAGGCUAGAGCACCACUCUCAUAACUUCAAUUUUUCACAUUCUAUACAUAUGAAAUUGUUACCAUUCAAUCACACACACUAAGCACAGCAUGCAAGAGUAGAUCUAAGGAUCCCACUUGCCUCUAGACUGAGCGAACACAGCAAGCACGAACGGAGGGUGAGGCAGACUUGACAGUGGCGAACGGCGGCAAUCGGUUUCCUUCCUUCUUUUUCCACAUGCUCACUCUCCCUCUCUCUCGAUUUCUCUCUCUCUCUCUCUCUCUCCCUCUCGGUUGACACUCCCCCCUCAUCAUCACGCCGGUUCUCCUAUUUUCUUCCCUUCAAUGAUGAGCAAUCAUUUGAUUGCAUGCAAGACACUUGGACUUAGGGGAAUGACACUUGCCAAUUCUCCCAUGCACAUGAUGGGCUUCAUCUGGCUGGGCUUGGGCCAACCCUAGGCCGAUGACAGCUCUUCCUCCUUGGGCUUCAUGGGCCUGUCGAAAAAGGGGUGGGGCUAUGGGCUGGUUUGGUCUUUAAAUGUCCAGCCCACCCUCAUCCUAAUAAUCCACGUUAAACCUUAAUUAUAUAAACACCUAAUUAAAAUUUAUAAUUCACAAAACUUUGAGACCUAAUUUAAUAAAUUCCAACCCAUAAAUCACAUGGCCAAAAAUAGAAUUUUCCUAUCAAAUAAUUACCCAUCAAAAGCUAAGCCAAAAUCUCAAUGCAAAACAUGAAUUAAAGCACCUCUAAGGGUUGACAAGAAAUUCUAUGAUGUCACAAUUCUCCCCUCCUUAGAGAAUUUCGUCCUCAAAAUUAGACAUCACGCAUGCCUCUUGAAACAAGUAGGGGUACUUUUCCUUUAUCUGAUUUUCACUCUCCCAUGUGGCUUCCUCCAUAUCGUGAUGUCGCCAUAGUAUCUUUAUUAACGGGAUUUUCUUGGUCCUAAGAACUUGCUCCUUUCUGUCCAGCACUUGUAUAGGCUCUUCGAUGUACCUCACUUUCUCAUCUACUUCGAUGGAUUCAUGAUCGAGUAUGUGACCAGGAUCCGGCUGAUACUUUCUCAGCAUCGACACAUGAAACACAUCAUGUAAAUUUCCCAAUUUAGGAGGUAGCACCAAACGAUAAGCUACAUCUCCUAUUCUUUCAAGUAUUUCAAAUGGUCCAACAAAUCUAGGGCUUAACUUACCCUUCAUUCCAAAUUGAGAUAUUCCUUUCAUUAGAGAUACUUUAAGGAAUACAUGAUCUCCCACAUUAAACUCCAAAGGCCUUCUAUGCCUAUAUGCAUAGUCUUUCUAUCUACUUUGAGCUAUUUUAAGUCUUUUCUUGAUAAUUUCGACAGCUUCAGUGGUAACUUGUACCAGUUUAGGUCCUAUCAAUUUCUUUUCACCUACUUCAUUCCAACAGGUAGGAGUCCUACAUCUCCUUCCAUAUAAUGCUUCAUAGGGAGCCAUGCCUAUACUUUUUUGAAAACUAUUAUUAUAAGGAAACUCCACCAAAUGCAAUCUUUCAUCCCAAUUCCCUUUAAAGUCAAUCACACAUGCCCUUAACAUAUCCUCUAAUGUCUGGAUUACUCUUUCUGUUUGUCCAUCUAUUUGAGGGUAAAAAGCAGUACUAAAUUGGAGUUUAGUUCCUAAGGCAAUUUGAAAACUCCGCCAAAAGUUCGAAGUAAAUCUCGAGUCCCGGUCUGAGGUAAUAGUUACUGGAACACCAUGUAAGCGUACUACUUGACUUACAUAUAUAUCCGCAUAUCUGUCCAUUGGGUAGUCUAUACAAACUGCUAGGAAAUGAGCAGACUUAGUCAAACGGUCCACUAUUACCUAGAUAGAGUCGUGACCACUUGAUGUCCUUGGCAAUCCUUGUACAAAGUCCAUUGUUAUAUGUUUUCAUUUCCAUUCUGUUAUGUCUAACGGUCUCAAUAGUCCUACAGGUUUGCAAUGUUCCGCUUAUACUUGUUGGCACGUCAAACAUUGAGAAACAUGCUUAGCCGUAUCUGCUUUCAUACCAUUCCACCAAAAUUUCUGACGCAAAUUCCUGUACAUCUUUGUACUACCUGGAUGAACACUGUAAUUACUCCUAUGUACCUCCGACAGAAUUUCCUUCUUUACUUCUUUGCUGUUGGGAACACAGAGUCGUCCUUGGCAUCUUACCACUCCAUCUUUAGAGACUUGAAAUUCUGGUCUUUUUCCUAAAGACACUGCAUCUUUCACUUUCAUAAUUUCCUAAUCAGAUUCUUGUAAGAUCUUAACUUUCUGAAUAAUUUCAGGUUCAAUCCUUAAUGCACUAAGCAUACCGGUAAGACAAUCCACUUUUAAUUUAAACUCUGAGUCCGCUACAGACUUUAACAAGCUCCAUUCUGCCAUUCUUAAACUGGCCAUCUUUGUAGCUGACUUACGACUAAGAGCAUCCGUUACCUUAUUCGCCUUCCCUGGAUGGUAUCGUAUCUCACAAUCAUAAUCCUUUAACAACUCCAUCCACCUCCUUUGUCUCAUGUUUAACUCCUUUUGUGAGAAUAGAUAUUUCAAGCUCUUAUGAUCUGUAUAAAUCUCAAACUUUUCCCCAUAUAAAUAAUGCCUCCAUAUCUUCAAAGCGAACACUAUAGCUGCUAAUUCUAAAUCAUGCGUUGGGUAGUUUAGUUCAUGGGGUUUCAAUUGUUUAGAUGUAUAGGCUAUGACUUUGCCAUGUUGCAUUAAAACACAUCACAAUCCUUUGUGAGAUACAUCACUAUACACCGUAAAACCAUCAGAUCCAGUUGGUAUAGUCAGGAUUGGAGCCGAGGUCAAUUUUCUUUUAAGCUCCUAGAAAUUCCUUUCGCAUUCCGCAUUCCGCAUUCCAUUCAGACUCCAUGUUCUUUCGAGUCAAUUUUGUUAAGGACCUGCCAAUCAUGAAAACCCUUCAAUAAACCUUUUAUAAUAACCAGCCAGUCCUAAGAAACUUCGUAUUUUAGUAGGUGUUAUCGGUCUCGGCCAAUUUAUUACCAUCUCAACUUUCGCCGGGUCCACUGCAAUUCCUCCUCCUGAUACCACGUGCCCCAAAAAUAUUAUCUGGUCUAGCCAGAAUUCACACUUGCUCAAUUUGGCAUACAGCUUAUGAUCUCUCAGAGUUUGCAAAACUAUCCUCAAGUGUUGUUCAUGUUCUUUAGGCCCUAUUGAAUAUAUCAGGAUGUCAUCAAUAAAAACAAUCACAAACUGGUCUAAAUAUGGCUUAAAUACCCUAUUCAUUAGAUCCAUAAAUGCAGCCGGUGCAUUUGUCAAUCCAAAUGGCAUGACAAGGAACUCGUAGUGUCCAUAACAAGUCCUAAACGCAGUCUUAGGAAUGUCUUCUUUCUUAAUUCUUAACUGAUGGUAUCCCGACCUUAAGUCAAUUUUAGAGAAGACCGAACUUCCCUGGAGUUGGUCAAAUAGGUCAUCAAUUCUAGGCAAAGGAUAUUUAUUUUUAAUGGUCACUUGAUUCAGUUGCCUAUAGUUAAUGCACAAGCGCAUUGACCCAUCUUUCUUUUUCACAAACAAGACUGGUGCACCCCAGGUGAAACACUUGGCCUAAUGAAUCCUUUAUUAAGCAACUCCUGUAGUUGCACUUUCAACUCCUUCAGUUCCAUUAAGGCCAUCCUAUACGGGGCUUUCAAUAUUGGUCCUGUUCCAGGCAUUAAUUCAAUUUCAAACUCAAUUUCUCGUUUCGGCGGUAAUCCAGGCAACUCCUCAGGAAAUACAUCUUGAAAUUCAUUAACCACUCGAAUUUCAUCAAACUUAGGCUCUUCCUUAGUAUAAUCUUUAACCAUAGCCAGGUACCCUUGACAUCCUUUGUCAAGUAACGCACGGGCUUCUAUUGCUAAAAUAAGUGCUAUAGAUAGGUUGGUCUAACCUCCCAAAAAUUCACAACUAGACUGAUCAGGUAAAAUAAAUUAGAUCACUUUUCUAUAACAACCCAUUUUGGCCCGAUACUUAUGAAGCCAAUCAAUUCCUAUGAUAACAUCAAAAUCAUACAUAGCCAUUAUGACCAAGUCUAUUUCCAUAUCCUUUCCUCCCAUUGUUAUCUUACAAUUUCUACACACCAGCGUAGACAAUACCAUAUUCUUUAAAGGUGUAGAAACACAAAGAGGCGUCUCAAGAGACGUAGUUUCUAUUUUACUCAACUGUUUAUAUCUUUCAGACACAAAUGAAUGCGUAGCACCCGUAUCAAACAAUGUAUAUGCCUUCUUGCCAUUUAUGAAAAUCGUACCUGAUAUAACAUUUCCGGAAGCUUUCGCUUCCUCUUGGGUGACCGCAUACACCAUUCCUUGUGCUGGUGGCCUCUGAGGAUUCCUUGGUAGGUUUGGUCUAACAACACUCUGUUGUGCCUGUCGCACCGAGCCAACACUUAUUUGCGACCUUUCUUAUGGGCAAUUCCUCCUAAGGUGUCCCACUUGUCCACAACCAUAACAUCUCAGUCGUCCAUUGCAAGGUCCUGGGCCAUGACUCCCAUCACACCUUCGACAUUCAUCAGGCUGAUAGUGUGCUUUCCCUAUAUUCAAACCAUCUUAGCUCUCCCAAAAUUUCCAAAAUUGCUCUUUUUCUUCGCAAUCCAAGUUUGACCUUGACCAGGAUAGGGUCUCUUACCCCUUCUCACAUCACUAAAGUUCAACUGUCUCUUAAACUCUGAUCGCUCUCUCACCAGCUCUUGCUUCACUAACUAUGCCCUUUCAUAAAUCUCAUGAUAAUCCCUUAUACUCAAAAGCACUAGUUGUUUCCUAAUAUCGGUCCUCAAUCCUUUCAAAAAUCUCUUAGCUUUAUCCUCACGAUCCUCAAUCAAUCUGGGAGCAUACCUAGACAAUUCAGAAAAUUUUGCCUCAUACUGAUCCACUGUCAGCUCAUUUUGUUCCAAUUGAACAAAUUCAGUGAUUUUCUUAUCCUUAGCACAAUCAGAGAAAUGCUUCCUAUUGAAAGCUCUAACAAAAUCUUCCCAAUUCACAUCAGUAUCUGGUGGAAAGAUUGUAUCCUUCAAAGCUCUCCACCAAAACUUUGCAUUUCCCUCCAGCUGGUACUCUGCCAAAAAUAUUUUCUCAGCUUUACUGCAGUCCAACAACCGGAAAAUUCGCUCCAUUCCAUCAAUCCAAUGUUCCGCCUCCUCAGGACUUCCUAUUCCACUAAACUUAAGUGGUUUCAACUUCAGAAAUUGUUCCACCAGUCUUUGAGGGCGACGUUCCAUUCCAAGCUGUUGUUGCGCUUGCCUAUCCAUCAGAUUUCCAAUAUUGGCCAAUGCCUGCAGAAUAUCUUCCAUUCGGGGUUCAGCCCUUGCAGCAGAGGCUUCAACCCUCGAUGGAUGAGCACUUCCAGCUCGCACCAUGACUUUCCUGCAAUUUCCAAGCAUUGCCUUAGGAAUAAUCUGAGACUCACUGUCUCCUUUAAAAACAACAGCAACUAAAGAAAAAUAAGUAACAUAAUCAUGAAACUGGUACCUAAAAGCAACUCAUAAUAACCACUAGGGAUCUACGAGUGAAUACCCAUCACCUGUUAUUCAAAGUUACACAACUAUUCCAGUUAAUAUCCUAUGGUGUGCAUUGUCAUCAUGUUCCUCAAUUUCCAAAUGAGGCUCCUUAUCACUCCAAUCUAUAACCAUUGUUCUGAUACCAAAACCCGGCUGUGGCACUCCCAAACGGCUAAGGUCGCCACAGAUACUUAUCGCUCCACCUAAUAAAUACUAGUUACAUAUCUUUGAUAUAAAGAGGUUUAAAGAAGGACCGAUGUCCAUAGGCAUUUCUUUUUUUUAAAAGAGUUUAGCGCAGCUCAUAGUGAAAUUAAAGACGAGUCUCACUAUCCCUCUACUCUCUUAAUGAUGGUACAAUGCACACCAACUACACAUCGAACGAAAAUAUAAAGCCGAGCCACUUUUAUUUACAUUUUUAAGAUGGACAUCUUGGGUCGGUAUAACCAAAAAGCCAAGACUUUUAGCUAAACUUGGCUACAGCUCAAAAGAGAGAUCUCGACCCCCUACAUCGAUCAUGUAUAACCCUCCAUCUACAAGUGUCGGCUAUCCCCAAAAAGUUAGCUCCCCCUCCUCACGCGGGCCAUCACACUCAUCCUGGUGCAUCGGGCGGUGGCGGUGGCAACAUCCCCUGUAUCACUCCGUCACGGCGGACGUGGACAGACAAGAACUCCUGGAUGACCGAGCCCCCAACCAGGCCCACAUCAUACAUCACCAACACCCGAACCCAUAUGAACGUCAAACCAGGGAUGGUGACAUGAUCAAGCUCCGUACAAUCGACCUCCGCGACAGAUGGAAGGCCGUAAAAGGUACCCCGCGUGAUCGGAGAGAGAGGCAUCUUUCUACUCUGAAAUGUUGGGCCCCAAAGGGGUGAGUACAACCACUCAGCAAGUAAAAGAUCCAUUAAGCUACUCAAUGCAUCAAACAGAACAAUCAUAACAUCAUAGUAAAGUACAUAUCAUUCAUGCAUCCAAGCAUAACUUACCUUGCAGUCAUGCAUAUGUCAUCAUACCAUAUGUGCAUACACCAUCAUGCACUUAUCCAUAUUAUAUCAUACAUCCAUGCAUAUAUGUCACCAUACCAUGCAUGAUUCAAUUUCAAUUUUUUAUCUUUCAAUUGGGUCACCACAUUUUUCUUUUCUGGGACCAGUAAUUUGCAUCCCACAUUCUAUCGCUCGCACCCAACCCGGCAUCGCGAAAAACCUCCGGCACACACCUCCGGGCAUCUCGUACUCCAACCAACAUCACGAGGUAUCCCCCGGCACACACCUCCGAGGCUUUCGGCACCUCCACAUUCCGGGCAUCUCGAAACUCCCGAGGACAUCCGGCACACACACUCCGAGCAUCUGGCACCCCCACACUCCGGGCAUCCCAACACUCCCGGGGCAUUGUCGGCUCACACCUCUGACGGUAUCCUCAUUUAUCGUAAUUCAUAUUCACAUUUGUGUCUCAAUAUCAACAUGGCACAUGAUGUAAUGGCAACAAUAUCAAUUUCAACUUUUGAUAUUUGCACAAUCCAGCUGGUAUAGUUUUAGAAAACAUUUUCAUUAAAUACCCAAAUGGCAUUAAAAAAAUUAUGGAAUUCGAGCAUGUACAUGAUGGGCUUCAUCUGGCUGGGCUUGGGCUAGUCCUAAGCCGACGGUAGCUCUUCCUCCUUGGGCUUCAUGGGCCGGUCGAAAAAGGGGUGGGGCUAUGGGCUAGUUUGGUCUUUAAAUGUCCAGCCCACCCUCAUCCUAAUAAUCCACCUUAAACCUUAAUUAUAUAAACACCUAAUUAAAAUUUAUAAUUCACAAAACUUUGAGACCUAAUUUAAUAAAUUCCAACCCAUAAAUCACAUGGCCAAAAAUAGAAUUUUCCUAUCAAAUAAUUACCCAUCAAAAGCUUGGCCAAAAUCUCAAUGCAAAACAUGAAUUAAAGCACCUCUAAGGGUUGACAAGAAAUUCUAGGAUGCCACAGAAAGGGUGUGAGAGAGAGUUGUGAGGGUAAGAAAAAAAAGGAAGGAACAUGGGCAAGGGGGGAGGUCGGCAUAAGCUUAAGGGGAAGGGGAAGUGUACGCACAAAGAGGGGGAAAGGUAUGGGGGGGGGGGAGAGAGAGAGAGAGAGAGAGAGAGAGAGAGAGAGAGAGAGGGAAGGCCAUGAAGUCAAGGGAAAAUAUUCUAUGUAAUCAUUAAAUUGGCAUCAAAGUCUUUAUGCUUUAAUGUCAAACACCCCUCCAAUGGCUAAUUUCCCUCAUUUCUUCACAAAUUAACUCCUUUUGGGCAGCCAAAAAUGCCAUAAAUAAGCCCAUUUGAAUUCUUUAAUUCCUUUUUGCCGAAAACCGAUUUUUUCGCAAAAUUCCGGGCUUGACGGAACUUCUUCGAAAGAUGAGACGAGGUCCUAAAAGUGAAUUGUGACACGCUCAAACGUUUGAUUCCCGAAACCAAAUUCAAUUUCGUGGUUAAAAUCAACUGGACGCGAUUUUAGUCCAAUCUAAUCUAUCGGGUAGCUUUUAGGGAUUUUACCGCGGUUAUAUCCCUUAACAGCUUUACCUAAUAGGUUAGUUAACUUGUGAGUGAUCAGCUCAGAGAAAAAAGACCUUAGGCACGUCGGUGAAAAGCCCAUUUUGUUUUAUCAUGACAGGUCAAAUAUUUAGGAUGUCAUAAACUCAAUAUAUUAUGCUAGGAAAUCCUGAACAAAAUAGUUUAGUCGAAAUGUGCAAUAGCACUCUUAUGGAUAAGAUGAUGAGUAUGAUUAGUAGGACCAUUUUAUCAAUUUUUUGUGGGGCGAAGCUUUGAAAACGGCGUUUUACAUUCUAAACUGUGUUUCUACCAAAGCUGCUCCAUUGAAUCCUAUUGGAUGUAAACCUAGCUUGAACCAUCUUAUGGUUUGGGGGUAUCAUGUAGAAGUGAUGUUAUAUAAUCUAUCAUUAAGUUAGUUAGAAUCCUGAACUACUUGGUGUUACUUCGCAUCUUACCCAGAUCAUCCGAAGGGAUAUCAGUUUUAUAACCCCAAUGGAGGUACAAAAAUUGUGAAAUCACAAAUAGUAAAAAUUCUGGAGUUUGAUGUAGUCGAAAAGGAUAGCUGUUCAUAAACUAUUAAUGAUAAUAAUAUGGUGGGAACUACUAGAUCUUUGUCCCUACCUACACAGAUAAUUGUAAAGCCUCGUAUGUCACAAAUUGAGCUUGUUGAGGUCUAGGAUCCUAAUGUUGAGGUAGCUCCUAAUGAAGUUCUUCAAGCCCCUUAGGUGUAGAAUCAGGUUGCGGUAGCUCCACUUUGGAGAUUUGUAGGGGAGACAAUUAGCUAUAUCAUCAUAUUAUAUAGUCUAUCUAAGAGAGCAUGAUUAUGAUAUUGGCUGUGUAUUUGAUCUAGUGACUUGUACAGAUGUUAUUUCUUGUCCUUAAUCAGAUUUGUAGUUAAAUGCAAAGAAUAAUGAGAUGCAAUCUAUGAAAGAUAAUAUUGUUUGGGAAUUUAUUGAAUUGCUUGUACGUCACAAGCCCAUCGGUUGCAGAUGGGUGUACAAGACUAAAAGAGACUCCAAAUGAAAGAAUGAGAAGUUUAAAGCUAGACCGAUAAACAAGGUUUCACUCGGAGAGAAGGAAUAGACUAUGUUGCAACUUUUUCCCUAGUCUCUUAUAAAGAUUCUUUUAGAGCGAUUAUGAAAAUAGUAACUCAUUUUGAUAUGAAGUUACAUCAAAUGAUUGUUAAAACUACAUUUCUAAAUGAAGGCUUUGAUGAUGAGGUUUAUAUGGUACAACCUAAAGGCUUUGCAGCAGAUGAUUCAAGUAAGUUUAUACGUAAAUUGAAAAAGUCUAUUCAUGGCCUCUAGCAAGCUUUUAGACAAUGAUACUUGAAAUUUCAUAGUGUUGUCACUUCAUUGGGUUUUAUUAAAAACAAAGUAUAUCAAUGUGUAUACUACACGGUUAGUAGAAAGAUAUUUAUUUUUUUCAUACUUUAUGUAGACGAUAUCUUGCUUGCAAGUAGUAAUAUUGGAUUUAUGCAUGAGACAAAACAUAUGUUGUUGUAAAUUUUUGACAUGAAGGACCUUGGUGAAACGUCGUUUGUCCUUCUCAUUGAGAUUCAUAAGGCUAUUCUUAUCGUAUAUUGGGCUUAUAUCAUUGGGUGUAUGUCAAUAAUAUUUUGGAAAGAUUCAGUACACGGCAUUGUAAGCUAGGAAUUACUCUUGUCAUUAAAGGUGAUAAACGGAACUCUCUUAAUAUCCUCAUUUAGAUUUUGAGAAAACUCAUAUGAUUGAUCUACCUUAUGCUAGUGUACUUGAAAGUAUCAUAUAUACUUAAAUUUGCACUAGACUAGACAUUGCUUUUGCGAUAAGACUCUUAGGUGGAUAUCAGUCAAAUCUAGGGCACAAUCAUUAGGUUGCUACCAAGAAGUUUUGAGGUGCUUAAAGAGGAUAAGCGGCUAUAUGUUAAUUUAUAUACAUGUUUAUGUCCUAUGACUAGUAAGGUAUUUGGAUGUAGAUAUUGUUGACUGUCUGGAUGAAGUGAAGUCGACAACUGGAUACAUCUUUAUAUUAGCAAGAGGUACUAUAUUUUGGAAAAGCGAGAACUAAAAAUCUAUAUCAUCUUCUACCAUAUAGACGAAGUUUACCAAUAAAAGAAAAAAACGGAGUUUGUAGCAUGCUUUUUGGUUGGUACUCGGGCUAAUUUGGCUCCAAAACCUCAUUAGGAUGUUGAUUGCAUUUGAUUUUGUGGAUAUGCCCACACAAUUGUAUUGUAACAUUGUGAUAUCCUGAUUUUUCAGGUUCUGAUUUCGAUUGAAUAAGUUGGGCAUUUCAUCAACGCGCUUAUAGUGUUUUUUCUCUGAGAUGACCACUCAUGAGAUAACUAGCCUAUCAGGUGAAGCCGUUAAGGGAUUUUAACGCAAUAGACUUGAGAAUUCGACCAGAAAUCGACUGCUUAACUAUGCUAGUCUACAAGGGUCAUUAUGGCAUUGCCAAAAUCGAUCAGAGACCAGAGAUAGGCCGAUUUGAUUAAGAUGUGUGAUCAAAGUGUAGGUGAUUCCACCUAAUUGCAAAAUUCUCGUUGAUCGACACUAAACCGAUUUUCUGUUGUUUUGGGUACCUUGUAUCUGUAUUUGAAACCUCGAGACUUUCACAACCACUGAGAGUCGCCAAUGUGUCAAAGAGGUACGUGUGGUUCGAAAAAAAUCGACCACAAGUCAAUUGCACUAAAAAUUUCUAAAAGUUACUCGGUAGGCUAGGUCACGCUAAAAUCAUGCCAGAUUGAAAUUAACCGCAAAUUUGAACCCGAUUUCAGAAAUUGAAAGUUCUAUCAUCUCUCUCUCUCUCUCUCUCUCUCUCUCUCUCUCUCUCUCUUUUCUUUCGCACGUUUAUUUUUCCUUCAGCCGACAAGCUUGCUGUGUUUUCCUCUUCUCCCUGGCCAACAUUCCUUCUCUCUCCUCCCCAUCCCUUCGUGCGGCCAACUGCCCCCCAAUCUCCUUUGGACUUCUACGUUUGCUUUCAUUUUCCUUUGGCUCGACACCCAUCGUUCCGGAGUUGCUUCUGUUUUAUUUUAAUCUCUGCAUGUUCUCUGCCCCACAGAUGCCUCCACCUUCAUCCAUCUCUCUCUCUCUCUCUCUCUCUCUCUCUCUCUCUCAACCGACGCCAACCCCACCAUCUUUGUCUCCACCGUCCCACUUCAAUCAACCUUAGUUAUUCAUUGACCGUGGGCUUCCACACCAGCACGACGGGCCAGCCCAUUCCCAACCCACCGAAGCAGCCUUACGUCUCCCAUUUUCUUCGAAAUAGCAAGCCUAAGCAGCAGCUUCGUCCCGGCAAUCCGGUAGCUCGCGGCCAUCGAGACUAGCCUCAAAUCAUGCUUGAACCAGCCAUUGUUUCAGCUCCUUGGGCCCAAGAUCUAAAGCCAAAGUUAGCAAGGGUUUGUGGGCAUCAAGGCCCGUUUUCGAGCCCGUCCCGGUCCCGCUUGGCGAUCCCACUUUGGAGUUUGUUGAUCCCCGUCACGUCCCCUUCGUUUUGGUCCAAGCGGAUCGCAAAUCAAGUGAGUUUAACUCAUUAAUCCUUGCUUAGUAAAUUAAUAACGUUUAAGGGUUGAUUAGUUUAGACUAAGUAUUGAUUAGGUGGAUAGUUAGAGUAGAUUAGCAAUUUAAUUAAUUGUUAUUGUAUGUUAGGUGGUUAGAGUAGUGUAAUUAGAGCCUAAACAAUCUCGAGUAUUUAUCUAGAGUAGUUCGGUAAUUUUUCGGACUCAUAUCGGCUUUCAAUUAGGCUUUACAGGCCUAAGUUGCUAUUUUUAGUAUUUAAUAAUUAAUUUUCGUAAUUAAUUAAUUAUUUUCCGAAAAUUAGAUUAGGAUAGGCGGUGAUCGAAAUUUUAUGCUGAUCGUAGUGGUGUGAUCUAUUUAUUUAAUUGACUAUUUUUUAUGCAAAUUGAGUGUGAUUUGUGAUUGUGGGUAAUUAUCCCAAAAUUAAUUAAUUUCAGUAAUUAAUUAGAAAAUCACCGGGUGUUGGUUUACAAUGCCAAAAAUGUUUUAUUGAAUAUAUAAUUAGUGGGCUUUUAUAAAAGAAAGAUAUUGUGUAAGAUAUUGUGUUUUUUUUUUCUUUUUGUUUAGGUCGACUAUGUACUCACACACAACUCUUUUAUCGUGUAUUUUUAAUACGAAGAAAAUAGGCCAGGUUCACCAUUUUAAUUGAGGUAUUUGAAUGCAAUGCACGGUGUCUUAGGCCGAGAUUGAAUGGUCGUGUGUUGGUUAAGAGAACCCAUCUCCGGUGUGUAUCGGUGGACGUUAAAAGUUAAGAGAACCUGUCUUCGGUGUGUGUCAUUGGACGUUAAAAGCUUAGAGAACCCAUCCCCAGUGUGUGUCGGUGGACGUUACCUAUCCAUGGUGUGCGUCAGUGAAUAGAGGACUGGCGUGUGUCGGGUAAAUCUGCUUGUGUGGGUAGCAUCAUUUAAUUGGAACGCAUGUUGAUUGAAUUGAUGGACCGACGUGUGUCGGUAAUUCUUGCUUGUGUGAGCAGUGAUUGAUUUAGAUGUUCCAAUUGAAGUAUGAAUUUGUUAUAUGCAUUUGGAAUAUGAACUGUGCUGUCUUGCAGGAAGGAACUGAGAUGAGGUAAGUCCUCUAUUCUCAUUAUGUGGUUGUGUGGCUAGAGUGCCCUGAGGCAUAUUUCAUUCCUAAUAAGGGUUUACGGGGUGGACUUGCUAAGAUAUUGUCUCACUGGUUAUUGUAUAACCAUUUUCAGGUCAUUAUAUGGUGGUCGUGGAAGAUUGAAGCCUGGAGUCUGUGGAGGUGGAGUCUAAAGGAUCGGCGUGUGUGUCCUACUAACAUGUUGUAGGAUAGCCUCUUUGAGAGUUGACCUUUUUAUAGGCUUUUACCUAGACUCUUCUGGUACCUAAACCCAGUUGUUUAUAAAAAGUGUGCUUUUGUGAAAUAUGCCCUGCUUUGCUAUCACAUGCUGUUUGUUAUCAGGGGUUAUUGUUUAGCUCCGGUAUGUGCAUUAAAAAUGAAAUGGUUCGGCGACGCGUCCUAGGAACGUCAUUAUUUAAUUGACCAAGGAGGGAUGGGUACGCUCUCGAAGGAUCGGGGCGUGACAAACAUAACUUUGCAGUGUUGGUUAUCAACAACAAUAGAUGUCUCAAUGAAUCUAAGCAUGUUGUGGUCAAGUUUUUGACCAUAAAUGAAAAGUUCAAAAUGGUGAUAUUACAGUAGAGCAAAUUUUCACAAAUGCCAUGGUUAUAGAUCCACUAACUAAAGGUCUUCACCCUUGUGUGUUUGAAUGAUAUGUUAUUACUAUGGACUUACAAGCAUCAUGGGAUACUAUUAUUUAGUGGGAGUCGUUUUUUUUUUUUUUGCUCUAAUAAAGUUUAUAUAUGCGUUUUGUUACAUUUAGUAACAUUUUGAUAAGUAUAAAAUUUUUGGCAUUCAAUAAAGUAUUUAUAAAUAUACUGUUAUUAUGUUGAAUAUAUAUUGAUGAAAAUUUCAAGAUAUUGUGUAAAACUUAAGUAAAAGCGUAAGGGCAUUCUGUUUUAGCCUUAAGAUAUAUCUUGUUACAUAAAAAGAAAUGUUAAACAUAAAUAUAUGACAUACGUUGGUUCGUUUGAACCCUAAAAAUAUUUUCUAGUGACAUAUCAGAUUUUGUGACACUUAAGGAGAGAAAAUAUUGACUAACAAAGGAGAUAAUAUAAAAGGCAUUACCCUCUUUAAGGUGUUAUCCCCUUGCCACAAUAUCAUACUGAAUUCAUAUUAGUAGAGUUAAAAACACUCAUGACUAUGGAAGAUAUUGUGUAUAUGCAUGCAGUUACCGCCAUAAUUUAGUGUAUGAGACUUUGUGGGAUCAGAUUAACUAUUAAGAAUGAUCUCUAGACUAACAUAAAUGUGCGCACAUACAAUAUAGUUUUAAUUAAUAUAGUUCAAAUGGGAGAAACGUAAGAGUUUUUAUUUUUUAUUUUUAUGUGGGCUCCAUUAAUUGAAAUCGAGAUUGGUUUAAUAAGGUGAGAUAUAAGGAUUCUUAAUUAGUUUAAUAUGGGGUUGGUUAAUGUAGGUUAAGUAAAGCCCAUCUUGUGAUUAGAGGAGCUAUGUCUUAAAAUUCUAAAAAUAGUAUUCAAGUCUCUCAUCUAAUCUUGACACAUAAAUAUCCUUUCAUAAGGAGCAGUUACAAAACCUUAGGAGUGAGGGAUAGUCUUAUUGAGCUAGUGAUAUAAAAGGUAAUAGAAGAGAAGCCCUUGAACUUUGGAUUGUUGAUGUCCACAUCAAGAACAAUGGAUUCCAAAUCAGGUACGUAAAUCUCUUUUACUUGAUUAUGUGUUGUUGAUUCUAGCUAUAGAAAUCUUGAGUUCAGUUUUUAUAGCUUACACAACAAAGUUUGGAAUAUACAGUCAUUUCAAUGAAACUGUCAUGUCCUAAACUCCUAAGUCAUGAGGAUGCAAUUGACAAGGGUUAUUAAUGCGACAUCCCAAGCGUGUUGUCGACCUGUUUUUCUUUCUUUUUCGAUUUAAUCUUCAAAUUAAGCACAUGUGGAAGGAAUACAACAACAACACCUGAUCCACCACAACAACAACACAUCAAAUAAUCGGAAAACACACGUGCAAACAUAUGUGCAAAAUGUGCUACUAUAUUCCUUUCAAUAUUUACAUGCCCCCAUAACUUGGAUCUAGUUCCAUUUACAUAAGCCACCGGUCCCAUAAAAAAUGUUGCCAAGGUUAGGGGUAUCCCUAUCUCUUUUAUCGGUAUAUAAGCCAAAAGCAGUUCCCUUACAAGGAUUGGCCACCUACAGGUCAUCUACAAUGCCGUCAAGUGAGGCGUCAUCGUGCGGUCGAGGCAGCCUGUCGAAGCCACGAAGCAAACCUAGGAGAUCCUUGUCCAACCAAACGUACCACGUGUGGUAACAAUGGGGAUCAAGAUCAUCGAGCCCUUCUUCCACCCAAAUAGUUGUGGUGACCAUUUGGUAGUGCCUAUCCUCUCUAGCAAAAUAUAUGUCCAUCAUCAAGACAUCCAUCUCCAUGGGAAGGUCAAACCUCACAAGUGGCGCGUUCAUCCUACAAUUCUGAAAAAGACAACGAGUGAGUUAUAAACUCAGUGAGUAAACCCACUAAUUUCCGGAUAGGAUGAUGCCUCGCUGAUUCAACAAACGCGUAACCAUAUAAAACAUUUGUCGAUGGCAAAUCAAUAGCAAAACAAACGCCUUGUCUUGAUUAGAACAUAAGAAACCUUCAUUUAACAAUACUCAAGCAUAAACUAAGCUCAACUCAACAAUAUGAGGACUCAUGCACAUGAAGGUUCAUUAAUUACUUACCAAAAUCCAUCGACUCUUCCAGAAUCCAUUGGGCAACGUAGCCGAAAUCUAUUGGUCGAUAGCUAAAAAUUAAUCGGUAUGUGAUCAUGCAUCAAGCAACAAUAAUCUGAUUCUUAUGUUCAUUUUUAGUCCAUGCAAUGAAAGAUGCCUAAAGGCAUGCCAUACAUAGGUAUGUGAUAUGACUUACUGCAAUCGCAUGCCGGGCGCGAAUUGAGGCUCGCAGCUUAAUUAGUCACUUUUGAACACCGAUCUAGUACCAAACUUGGUUAGAGAAUGAUACGGUUUAAUACCGCAUUGAGACGAAAGAAGGAUUGAUCCAUCAUGAUUCAACGUAUGUUCAAAGCCGACGAAAGCCUUGUUUGGAGCUCAAGGCAUGAAUUAGAGCAUGCACACGUGCAAUAGUAACGACUAUCUUGGUAACAUAAUUAACAAGCUUGAGCAAUGACACUUUCAAAACCAACUCAAGUAAGAGCACUAACCGAACCACAUCAAGCAAGAACACUAUCCAAGCAAACUCAAACAAGAACUCACUACACGUUCGGAAUAGCGUAACACAACACCAUAGCCAAAUAUUAGUAAUUCUACUUACAACUAACUAAACUGGUAGCCUAAACAAUGGUGGUGAGUGGCAAUGAGGAGGACAGCAUGAAAGAAGCCGAGAGAGAGAGAGAGAGAGAGAGAGAGAGAGAGAGAGAGAGAGAGAGAGAGGUGAGUUUUGAGUGUUUUGAGUGUCUAAACCUUGCAAAUGGAAGAAUAGACUCUCUAUUUAUAGUUUUUACUCCAAUUAUUAUCUUGCAAAAGGGUUUAAUGACAAUUUAUCGAGUGGCAAGCCUAAGUAAGCAAGGUGGCAAGUUUGCAAGAUGAGAUGUGCCUACGACGGUCUAGAAUUCCAAGUGUCUAGCUUUCAAUUAGGCCAUCUAGGCCAUGACUCAUCCAAAUAAUGAUGAUCCUUAAGUGAAGAUGUCGCCUCCCUACUUAUCCAUAAAAGGCGUCGAAAAGCCUUGGACUUCUAAUUCAAGAAGCAUUAAAUGGAAAGCAUUCGUUCUCCAAGUCUCAAAUGAGGGGAAACGAUGACCCCAAACUAAUAGGAACGCAAGGGCAUGUGACUCACCUUUGACGUUAAUUCACUAAAGUCCAAAAUCAUUAAAUGCAUGUUGAUCUUCAAGACAACAAGGCUCUUAAAUAGCUUGCACUCCGAGUUGGACGUGCAACCAUCCUUUUUGCACCUAGUUUGUUCACUUUCAAGACUUGUUUUAGGGUAAUAAUUAUUCUAAGUCAAUAGGGACGCAUAGAGCCCUAAGGUUAUCCUUUUCAUUAAUGAACUUGGUUCUCAUCCUUUGAGAAGCCUAAGACUUGUUUUGCUUGCUCCAAGGCCCUCUAAUAGGCGCGUGACUCACCCCCAAAUUCAAGUGCUAGAAGCCAAAGAACAUAAUUGUCUUUAAGAAGCAAGACCAUCUUUUGCCACUUGUUGUGAUGAGUCACUAACUUCAUUAAUGGGUAGCUUCCAAAAACAACUAAUGCACCAUGGAAAAGUAACAAAAUCGAGGGCCAUCUCAUUGGAUGAGAAUUUUUCGAGUUCAACCACGAUCGACUACCCUAUUUGGUCCGAAGUUCAUGCCUAAGCCAUGAUCGGACGAGACCAGACACGAUCGGACCUAAUUGGUGGGACUAGUUCAGAAAUUCUCCUUACCAUGCAUAAGGAGGUUCGGCUAGGUCUAAGGUCCAGUCCUUGGUCUUGUCAAUCAAUCCUAGGAUUGGUCUUGUGGCCAGUUCAUGGUCAGUUCAAAAUUGAUCCAUGUCGAUUUUAAUUGAUCCAUGAUUGAUUCUCGAUUGUCAUAUAAUCGCGUGAGAUUAAUCGACUCACCGCGAUACACAACUGCAUUGAAUCAAUUUAUUGUCGUUCAAGUUCAGUGUAAUUACCACGUGAAAUCACCUCCAUAAUCGUCCACUGAUCAAUCCGUGACGAUGCAUGAUUGUCCCAUCACUGAUCCUUAUGGGUGAAUAAUCUAUCUAUGGUGGAACACUCUAUUUGAACAUAAUUGAUCCUUAGUUGCCUUUUCCGAUCAGGUUAAAUGGUCCAUAAUCAACCCUCGGGUCUAUUCAUGGUUUAUUUUCGUCAUCAGUUGUGGCACCCCUCGAAGGCCCCCGAUCCGAUUUGGGUCGCCACAGUUUGCUUACCAUUCACUUUUCCUAAUAACAUGUCACUCUGAUACCAUUUCAAUUGCAGCGGGUCCAUACAAUCUGGGGGUUUACAUUUUUUUUUAAUCGGUCCCUUGCGCAAUUCAUGUAACGGAAGCAUAGCCAACAACUCCCUUCCCUACAUUCAGAAAACGAUGCACACUAACUAAACAUCUUAUAAAAGUUAAAGCCGAACACUUUUAUUUACUUAACCAGAUGUACAUCAUUCAUCGGUACAUCAAAAUGCCGUAGUCUUCUAAACUCGGCUAUACUUCAAAAGAUGACUGACAUCUCCUCCCACAAUCAUAUACUUAAGGUCCAUCAGCCAGUGUCGGCGUCCAAAAGUUCCCUCCUUUGCUAUCCUUCUCCUCACGGUCAUAUCCAACCGCUCAAACCAUCUACUAAUCUGAAAUGUUGGUCCCCAAAAGGGGUGAGUACAACCACUCAGCAGAUAAGGAAUCCAACAACUACUCAAUGCAUCAUACAAGUCAUACAUGCAUUGCACGCGUUACUAACCUUGAAGCCAUGCGCAUACUAUCAUGCAUCAUCAUCACAAAUUAUAACACAUACAUGUGUAUCAUCAUCAUAUCAUACAUGUCAUCAUCAUCAUGACAUCAUCACAUUACACAUGUCAUCAUCAUCAUGGCAUCAUCAUAUCAUACAUGUCAUCAUCAUCAUCAUCAUGCAUAUCAUCAUGCAUAUCGACAUGCCAUAUCAUAUAUCAUCAUCAUCAUCAUCAUCGUCAUGCAUAUCAUCAUGUCAUAUCAUAUAUCAUCAUCAUCAUCAUAGUCAUGCAUAUCAUCAUGCAUAUCAUCAUAUCACACAUGUCAUCAUCAUCAUGACAUCAUCAUCAUCAUAUCAUGCAUAUCGUCAUGCAUAUUUCAAUUUCUCAAUCUCAUCUUGUCAUAUUGAACUGCCACACUUCUCUUUCCCGGGACCAAUGUUUGCAUCCCACAUUCAUCACUCGCACCCAAUCCUGGCAUCGCGAGAACCAUCCGGGUAUGUAUCCAAGAUACAACCGGGCAUCCGGCCCCCCACAUUCCGGGCAUCUCGCAUCCCAACUAGCAUCACGAGGAACCUCCGGGCAUGUAUCCAAGAUACAACCGGACAUCCGGCAUUUACACUCCCCGGGCCGGGCAUCUCGCACCCAAAUCCUGGCAUCGCGAGGCAUUCCCUUCGGGCAAAGACCUCCGACAGGGCUUCCAGCCCCCCACAUUCCGGGCAUCUUGAAUCUCCCAGGGAAAUCCGGCAAUGUAUCUCUAUAUAUUCCGGCCAUCAUCCUCCACCACAACUAUCUCCUCAUUUACCAUCAUCCAUGUUUACCAAUAUUUUAAUCUCAAUUUAACAUGGCAUAUGGCGUGACAUCACACAAGUCAUACUUGGCAUAGGAUUCACACAUGCAUCUCAAUUCAAUGUCAUAUAUAUACCAAGACUUUAUCCCACAUGCCACAUAAAUAAAUUAAAUGGAAUCUAUGGCCAAUAAAAUAAUCUAUUUUAUUUUAUUUUAUUUUAUUUAUUUAUUAUUAUUUUUAUUAUUAUUUAAUAUCUAUAAAUUCCCAAAAUUAUAAAAAUUCAAGCAAUUACAAACCAAUAGGAUUACAUGCAAAAUCCAUGGCCAAAUUGAAUUUUUACAAAAUCUCACAAUUUUCACAAAACAUCCUAUGAUUCUCGGAUAAAACCAGAAUGCACGGUUUCCGAAGAAAUUCAAUUAAAAUAUCCAUAUGGCCUCCAAAAAUUAUGAAAUUUUACUGGAUUAUAGCCAAGAAAUUUUCGUACAACUUGCAUGAAGACUUCCAGGCCAUAUUAUUUUUAGAUUAUUUUAUACAGUCUCACGAAGCUUCUGGAUCUAUUACCGCAUCGUCCAGUGUACACAUCUCCGAAAUAUUGAGAUUUCACCUACCUAUAUUCUUUCGUUUUCUCUGAAAUUUGGAUAUGUUAUACAUCAAGAUGUCUUCUCCAAGUUUCAUGAAGAGAUCUAAGUCAAAUAACCAGAAUAUAGUCAUCAUUUAGGUCCUUGAAGUCUCGGGUGUCUUGAAAUACAUCUCCAGAAUUUCCAUCUUCAAGAUCUAGUCGAUUUACUAAGCUAUGCUUGUUCAUUUCACUUCAAAUAUGAGUAUGUUGUAGUUCAAGAUGUCCCCUACAACUUUCAUGAAGAAAUCGAAGAGCAAUUUUCAACACAAACCAACAUGCAACCACGAAUCCAGCAAGAGGUCAGUAAAAACUUUCCAGAUCUGAGGUCUCCGUAGGAUGAGACUUUAGCCACUCAAAUCCCCAUAAUUGUCCACGAAAUUUUAGUAUGUUGUAGUUCAAGAUGUUAGCUACAACUUUCAUGAAGAGAUAAAAGCCAAAAUCGAACUCUAAACACACAUGCAAGCUCAAACAAGUUUCUGACUCACACGGUCCGAGCAAGAACAGCCAUGCGAUUCAAGAAUAAGCCAACCAUACCUCGGUUUUUCUCACUUAAACACCCAAAAAUUUAACAUGCAAACAACAUACAAGCAUGCAAGAGAAGCUAGAGGACUCCCACUUGCCUCUAGACCUCACGAAGGGAGGCACACGACGGCGAACACGGCGGACGGACGGCGACUCCUCCUCCUCCUCGGCUCCUCCUCUCUCUCGGUCACUCUCCCUCUCUCUCGAAAUCUCUCUCUCUCUCUCACUCUUUUGGCCAAAUGGGGUAACCGGCCAUCACUCUCUCUCUCUUCCCUUUUAUCCUCCCCAAUCCUCAUCAUUACUUGCCUUCAAAUUAGCCAAUGCAUGGCAUUCUCCUUUGUGCCACUUGUCACCACACAUGCAAGGGCUUUGGGCUUGGGCUUUUGGGCUUGGGCUUGGGCCAUCCGGCCACUCUUGGGCCUCCCCUUGGGCUGGUCGACAGCCCCCUUUAGUGGGCCUAGUUGAGCCGACUUGCUUGGCCCAUCAAGGCUUCGGUCAAUGGGCCUAAGGCCCAACCUAAUAAAAUCAAUUUUAUCCCCUUUUCUUAUCCUUUAUUUUAAGAAUUAAAUUACCCAACUCUACAUGGCCAAAGUCUUGUGAUAUUUUAUUUAUAGAAACUUUAAUUUAUAAAGUGUAUGGCCAAGCAUAAAUUAUCAUCAUUAAUCUAUUUAAUUUAAAAUCUCAUGAACACAAGCAUCUAUCACUUAGCCUUAAAGAAAACUAAUGGCUAAAAUAUAAACCAUAGGUAAUUUCAUUACCUAAUUAUGGGCUUUAAUUCCUCUAGAGGGUGACUUGAAUUUUUGGGAUGCCACAAUUCUCCCAUCCUUAGAGAAUUUCGUCCUCGAAAUUAGACAUUUCCUAUGUCUCUUGAAAUAAGUGAGAGUACCUUUCUCUCAUCUCAUUUACACUCUCCCAUGUGGCUUCCUCCACAUCAUGAUAUCGCCAUAAUAUCUUAACCAAUGGAAUUCUCUUGGUGCUGAGAUUUUGUUCCUUCCGAUCCAAUAUCAGCACAGGCUCUUCGAUAUACCUCACUCUCUCAUCCACUUUGAUGGCUUCAUGAUCGAGUAUGCAACUAGGGUCGGGUUGAUACUACCUCUAAAGUUAAGGAUGCAAGAUCUUAACAUAUCUUAAUUUAUCUCAACACCAUAAAUAGUUUUAAAACAAUAACUCCAUCUAAAAUUUCUUUCGAACGCUUGAAAAUCUUCCUUCAUGAAAUCAAACAAUAUAAACUGAGGUUUUCAAAAGCAUUCAAAAACAUUAGCAAACUUUGAAAUCAUAUGUCAUUUCCAUGUCAAAACGUUUUCAAAUCACCAAUGUGGAAAAUCCUUUGAGUUCUUAAAAAUUCCACUUUAUGAUGUAAAAUAGGGAUUUCAAAGACACAGCGAUAUAACAAUGAUAGUAUUUGAGAAUAGGUAAAUCUCAUAUCGUUGAAACCAAUUCACAAAUUCAAAGCAUGAUACCAAUUCCAUAAAAUCCAUGUUCACGUUUAAAUUCCAAAUGUUUUUCGAAAUCCACAUGUAAAACCUCAAGUCGUACUUGCAUCACGGCGUGAAAUAAAAUACUUUAUCAAAACCCUUAGUAAAUUUAAAUCGGUAUGUUGGCAAAAUUCCAAUCUCAAUCCCAACUCCAAUGGGUUGGAAUGUUUUCUAAAAAAAGUUCAGAAAUCUUUAAAAUAGAAACCAUUUCUUAAAACCUUUGGGCACGGUAUCACAGUACUCAUAAAUUUUGAUGAAAUUCAAGAGGUUUUCUAAAACAGUUCACAAUCAAAAUUUGCUUUUCGAUUUGAAGUUCAAAACUUGGGAUGUACAGGUGAUAAUUUUCUCCAAAAACCAUAAGCAUUUCUUGAAGUAUUGAAAAUCACAAUUCGGCGAGUCGGUAAUAUUGGUCCCGUCAUAAAGAUUUUUGAAACUAAAACUUUGAAAUACCAAAAUCCUAAGCCUUUCUUGAAAUACCGAAAUCAACGCAUCGGCGAGUCAUCAAACUCAGUCCCAACCUUAAGAUUUUCAAAGUAGUUUGCAUGUAAAAUCUUAGAGCUUUGAAAACAUCCAAACUCAAGUAUUUCCAAUCUAACUACACUUCAUCAGACAACAACGGCAAUACAUUAUAUAGGUUAGUAGACUUUCACUUGCUGGCAUGUUAAACACUAGGAAACAUGUUUAGCUACAUCCGCCUUCAUGCCAUUCCACCAAAACUGUUGGCGUAAUUUCUAUACCUUUGUCACCACCAAUUCAAGCCUAGAACCAUCAAAAUCAACACCACCAAUAACUCAUUUGGUUUAGUCCAACAAGGACAUUCACUAUGCAUUCACCGCAACACAGAUUCAAGCCUAAAAUAUAAUACCAUUCAUUCGGUUCAAAUAUCGAUAGUCCACCAAGACUCAUUCAAUUCAAAGAUCGACAAUCCACCAAAAUAAAACUUGUCUAGUUUCCAUCGAAUAUAUCUCAGAUCUCAUCCUAAAUGAUCAUCACUUAGACUAAUCAUUCAUCAAAUCCACAACUUGAACUUCCACCAAUUCACCUUGGAAAGACUAUAACCACAAAUGAUCAUAUUCACUAAUUCCACCAAACCUUUUUCAAAUUGAGAUCAUCACCUAAAGUUAAAAGUUGACCAUCAUCAAUUAAACCUAUUAUUCUGACAUAUAAACCACAAAUAAUUUCAUAUCUCAUAUGACUACUCAAACUCAUGUCUUCCAAGAUCAAUCUAUAUAUACUAAAUGCCUCCAUAUAAUGCCUCAAGACUUCCAAUGAAAUCCUCAAAUAGGAAUUCACUACUUAGCUCAAAUGAUCAUAACUUAAUCCUCAAAUUCAUAACUCACUCUCCAUAAUUCACUUCUUAAGCCUUACUUGCAGCACUAUGCUUAGAUGCUACGCACGUCUUCAGGUCCUUUAGAAUACAUCAGGACAUUAUCAAAAGAAAGACAAUCACAAUUUGAUCCAAAUAAGGCUUAAAUAUCCUAUUCAUUAAAUCCAUGAAUGCAGCUAAGGCAUUCGUCAAUCCAAAUAGCAUAAUUAGGAACUCAUAGUGUCCAUAGCGAGUCCUAGAUGCGGUCUUAGGAAUGUCUUCUUUCUUAAUCCUUAACUGGUAUCCUGAUCUCAAGUCAAUUUUAGAAAAGACCGAACUUCCUUGCAAUUGAUCAAAUAGGUCAUCAAUUCUAGGAAAUGAGUACUUACUCUUAACAAUUACAUGAUUCAAUUGCCUAUUAUCAAUGCACAAAUGCAUCAACCCAUCCUUCUCUUUCACAACAAGAGUUCUACAAGCUUAACCAUGCCUCCGCUUCGCCACUCUGAUAAAAUUAUCCCAGAAACACUACCUUCCUAGUUCAGUUCAUAGUUCGGUUCAUUCCUGCCCCCUUUUUGCCAUUCUAGAAGCCUGCCAGGAGCCGCUCCUUGUUCAGGUCCUCUAACCUCGGCGUCUACUCCUCGCUCUCAUCAAACCGGGACGUUACAGGUACACCAGCUUUCGCCUGGUUCGAACCCGAACUACACAUCUACUGAAGGGUCUCGUUUCAACAGGGAUUAACUUACAGAGUUAGUAUCUGUUUUGGCCUAUCCCAUACUAGGCCUCAUGGUUUCAUCCUUAGCGCACGAGUAAGUACUAUCUCAGGAGAUCAUUCAUCCUAGUCCAUUUCUACGAUGACAUCAAAGUCAUACAUAACUAUCACUAUCAAGUCCAUUUCCCAGAUCUCAUUCCCCUAGGGUUAUCUCACUCAUCUCACAUGCCAACGUAGAUAACAACAUAUCUUUCAGCGAUGUAGAAAUACGAAGAGGCAUAGCAAGAGAUUUAUUCCUACUCCUCACAAUCAUCUAUAUUUUUCGGACACAAAUGAAUGCGUGUCACUCACAUCAAAUAACGCAUAUACCUUCUUAUCCCUCUAUCGAAAUCAUACCUGAGAUAACACUUUUGGAAGCUCCUGCUUCCUCUUGAGUGACUGCAUACACCCUUCCUUGUGGUGGUGGCCUCUGUGGAUUCCUUGGUAAAUUUGGUCCACCAGUAUUUUGUUGUACUUGUCGCACCGAGUUGAUAUUCGGAUGCGACCUUCCUUGUGGACAAUCUUUCUUAAAGUGACCUCUCUGCCCACAGCCAAAACAUUUUAAUCGAUCAUUACAGGGUCCUGGUCCAUGUUGUCCACCACGUCUCUGACAAAUAUUACCCUGGUAGGGUACUCUUCCUAGAAUCGGGCCACUCCUGACCUUUCUAGAAUUCCCAAAAUUAUUCAUCUUCUUAGAUUCCCAGGUCUGACCUUGACCAGGAUAGGGUCUCUUACCCCUUUGAACAUCAUUAAAGGUCAUCUGCCUCUUAGAUUCUGAUUGCUCUCUUACUAACUCUUGCUCUGCCAACUGUGCCCUCUCAUAAAUCUCAUUAUAAUCCCUUAUAUUCAGAGGCACUAGUUGUUUUCUAAUAUCAGUCCUUAAUCCUUUCAGGAAUCUCUUAGCCUUUUCCUCUCGAUCCUCAACCAACCUAGAAGCAUACCUAGAUAAUUCAGAAAAUUUUGCCUCAUACUGGUCUAUUGUCAGCUCCCUUUGUUCUAACUGAACAAAUUCAGUGAUCUUCCUAUCCUUGGCACAAUUAGAGAAAUGCUUCCUAUUGAAAGCCCUAACAAACUCUUCCCAGUUCACAUCAGUACUUGGUGGAAAGAUUGUAUCCUUCGAAGCUCUCCACCAAAACUUUGCAUUUCCCUCCAGCUGGUACUCUGCUAAAACUAUUUUCUCAGCAUCACUAUAGUCCAACAACCGGAAAAUUCGUUCCAUCCCAUCAAUCCAUUGCUCCGCCUCCUCAGGACUUCCCAUUCCAUUAAACUUAAGUGGCUUCAGCUUCAGAAACUGCUCCACUAGUCCUUGAGUACAGCGUUCUACUCCGGGCUGUUGCUGCGCCUACCUUUCCAUCAGAUUUCCAAUAUUGGCUAAUGCCUGCAGGAUGUCUUCCAUUCGGGGUUCAGCCCUUGCAGCAGAGGCUUCAGCCCUCGAUGGAUGAGCACUUCCAGCUCGCACCAUGACUUUCCUGCAAUUUCCAAGCAUUUGCCUCAAGAAUAAUCUGAGACUCACUGCCUCCAUCCAAAGCAACUACUACUACUACAUAAGUAACAUAUACAUGUUACUGGUACCUAAAGACAACUCAAAAUAAGCUACUAGGGAUCUACGAGUGAAUUCUCAUCACCCGUUAUUCAAUUAUUUCAUUUUACAUCCUAUGGUGUGCAUCAUUCUAUCCUCAUUUCCAUCUGAGGCUCCUUAUCACUCCAAACAGACCAUAGCUCUGAUACCAAAAAGGGCUGUGGCACCCCUCGACGGCCCCCGAUCCGAUUUGGGUCGCCACAGUUCGCUUACCAUUCACUUUUCCUAAUAACAUGUCACUCUGAUACCAUUUCAAUUGUAGCAGGUCCAUACAAUCUAGGGGUUUACAUUUUAUUUUAUUUUUAAUUGGUCCCUUGCGCAAUUCAUGUAACGGAAGCAUAGCCAACAACUCCCUUUCCUACAUUCAGAAAACGAUGCACACUAACUAAACAUCUUAUCAAAGUUAAAGCCGAACACUUUUAUUUACUUAACCAGAUGUACAUCAUUCAUCGGUACAUCAAAAUGCCGUAGUCUUCUAUACUCGGCUAUACUUCAAAAGAUGACUGACAUCUCCUCCCACAAUCAUAUGCUUAAGGUCCAUCAGCCAGUGUCGGCGUCCAAAAGUUCCCUCCUUUGCUAUCCUUCUCCUCGCGGUCAUAUCCAACCGCUCAAACCAUCUACUAAUAUGAAAUGUUGGUCCCCAAAAGGGGUGAGUACAACCACUCAGCAGUUAAGGAAUCCAACAACUACUCAAUGCAUCAUACAUGCAUUGCAGGCAUUACUUACCUUGAAGCCAUGCGCAUACUACAUGCAUCAUCAUCACAAAUUAUAACACAUACAUGUGUAUCAUCAUCAUAUCAUACAUGUCAUCAUCAUCAUGACAUCAUCACAUUACACAUGUCAUCAUCAUCAUGGCAUCAUCAUAUCAUACAUGUCAUCAUCAUCAUCGUCAUGCAUAUCAUCAUGCAUAUCGACAUGCCAUAUCAUAUAUCAUCAUCAUCAUCAUCGUCAUGCAUAUCAUCUUGUCAUAUCAUAUAUCAUCAUCAUCAUCAUCAUCAUCGUCAUGCAUAUCAUCAUGCAUAUCAUCAUAUCACACAUGUCAUCAUCAUCAUGACAUCAUCAUCAUCAUAUCAUGCAUAUCGUCAUGCAUAUUUCAAUUUCAAUUUCUCAAUCUCAUCUUGUCAUAUUGGACUGCCACACUUCUCUUUCCCGGGACCAAUGUUUGCAUCCCACAUUCAUCACUCGCACCCAAUCCUGGCAUCGCAAGAACCAUCUAGGCAUGUAUCCAAGAUACAACCGGGCAUCCGGCCCCCCACAUUCCGGGCAUCUCGCAUCCCAACUAGCAUCACGAGGAACCUCCGGGCAUGUAUCCAAGAUACAACCGGACAUCCGGCAUUUACACUCCCCGGGCCGGGCAUCUCGCACCCAAAUCCUAGUAUCGCAAGGCAUUCCCUUCGGGCAAAGACCUCCGACAGGGCUUUCGGCCCCCCACAUUCCGGGCAUCUUGAAUCUCCCAGGGAAAUCCGGCGAUGUAUCUCUAUACAUUCCAGCCAUCAUCCUCCACCACAACUAUCUCCUCAUUUACCAUCAUCCAUGUUUACCAAUAUUUUAAUCUCAACUUAACAUGGCAUAUGGCGUGACAUCACACAAGUCAUACUUGGCAUAGGAUUCACACAUGCAUCUCAAUUCAAUGUCAUAUAUAUACCAAGACUUUAUCCCACAUGCCACAUAAAUAAAUUAAAUGGAAUCUAUGGCCAAUAAAAUAAUCUAUUUUAUUUUAUUUUAUUUUAUUUUAUUUAUUAUUUUUUUUGUUAUUAUUAUUUAAUAUCUAUAAAUACCCAAAAUUAUAAAAAUUCAAGCAAUUACAAACCAAUAGGAUUACAUGCAAAAUCCAUGGCCAAAUUGAAUUUUUACAAAAUCUCACAAUUUUCACAAAACAUCCUAUGAUUCUCGGAUAAAACCAGAAUGCACGGUUUCCGAAGAAAUUCAAUUAAAAUAUCCAUAUUGCCUCCAAAAAUUAUGAAAUGUUACUGGAUUAUAGCCAAGACAUUUUCAUACAACUUUCAUGCAGACUUCCAGGCCAGAUUAUUUUUAGAUUAUUUUAUACAGUCUCACGAAGCUUCUGGAUCCAUUACCGCAUCGUCCAGUGUACACAUUUCCGAAAUAUUGAGAUUUCACCUACCUAUCCUCUUUAGUUUUCUCUUAAAUUUGGAUAUGUUAUACAUCAAGAUGUCUUCUACAAGUUUCAUGAAGAGAUUUAAGUCAAAUAACCAUAAUAUAGUCAUCAUUUAGGUCCUUGAAGUCUCGGGUGUCUUGAAAUACAUCUCCAGAAUUUCCAUCUUCAAGAUCUAGUCGAUUUACUAAGCUAUACUUGUUCAUUUCACUUCAAAUCUGAGUAUGUUUUAGUUCAAGAUGUCCCCUACAACUUUCAUGAAGAAAUCGAAGAGAAAUUUUCAACACAAACCAACAUGCAACCACGAAUCCAGCAAGAGGUCAGUAAAAACUUUCCAGAUCUGAGGUCUCCGUAGGAUGAGACUUUAACCCCUCAAAUCCCAAUAAUUUUCCACGAAAUUUUAGUAUGAUGUAUUUUAAGAUGUUAGCUACAACUUUUAUGAAGAGAUCAAAGCCAAAAUCGAACUCUAAGCACACAUGCAAGCUCAAACAAGUUUCUGACUCACACGGUCCGAGCAAGAACAGCCAUGCGAUUCAAGAAUAAGCCAACCAUACCUCGGUUUUUCUCACUUAAACACCCAAAAAUUUAACAUGCAAACAACAUACAAGCAUGCAAGAGAAGCUAGAGGACUCCCACUUGCCUCUAGACCUCACGAACGGCGGCACACGACGGCGAACACGGCGGACGGACGGCGACUCCUCCUCCUCCUCGGCUCCUCCUCUCUCUCGGUCACUCUCCCUCUCUCUCGAAAUCUCUCUCUCUCUCUCACUCUUUUGGCCGAAUGGGGUAACCGGCCAUCACUCUCUCUCUCUUCCCUUUUAUCCUCCCCAAUCCUUAUCAUUACUUGCCUUCAAAUUAGCCAAUGCAUGGCAUUCUCCUUUGUGCCACUUGUCACCACACAUGCAAGGGCUUUGGGCUUGGGCUUUUGGGCUUGGGCUUGGGCCAUCCGGCCACUCUUGGGCCUCCCCUUGGGCUGGUCGACAGCCCCCUUUAGUGGGCCUAGUUGAGCCAACUUGCUUGGGCCAUCCGGCCACUCUUGGGCCUCCCCUUGGGCUGGUCGACAGCCCCCUUUAGUGGGCCUAGUUGAGCCGACUUGCUUGGCCCAUCAAGGCUUCGGCCAAUGGGCCUAAGGCCCAACCUAAUAAAAUCAAUUUUAUCCCCUUUUCUUAUCCUUUAUUUUAAGAAUUAAAUUACCCAACUCUACAUGGCCAAAGUCUUGUGAUAUUUUAUUUAUAGAAACUUUAAUUUAUAAAGUGUAUGGCCAAGCAUAAAUUAUCAUCAUUAAUCUAUUUAAUUUAAAAUCUCAUGAACACAAGCAUCUAUCACUUAGCCUUAAAGAAAACUAAUGGCUAAAAUAUAAACCAUAGGUAAUUUCAUUACCUAAUUAUGGGCUUUAAUUCCUCUAGAGGGUGACUUGAAUUUUUGGGAUGCCACAUCAGCAUACCGAUUCUUAGCCUACUAAUCGUGAUCAAAACAAGGGUUGAAAUCGAGGAUGUGACAAGAACCAAACAUAAACAAACUAUUUCAGAAUUUAAUCGACGACAAAUCUUGAGAAAGCAAAGGUGUUACACCAGAAUUUAAUUGUUGAUGUGACACCUAAGUUAGAGAUACAAGUUGGAAUUUAAUCAAUGACGUGAGUUUGAAAAGUAAAAUUGCAAUGUUGGAAAGUAGAGUAAUAGAAAGAUAGUAGAUUUGUUUGUUUUUGUGAUUGGGGGGUGGGGGGGGGGCUUCAAUAGACGAACGAUGGUAUUUACAGUGGCUAUGCCAGGAUUGUCUUUGAGCAAUUCAGCUACAGUGCAACCAUGUUUCCUCAUCUCCGAAAAUCUUGUGCCUAUGCUCUUAUAAUGCCAUGAUCUUGUCUUCAAGCGAUUGCUUUCUUAAAAUCUCUUUUUGGUUAUUUCAGGACUUCCUAGAAUCCGUUGCCUCACUCACUAGUGAUUUCAAACUCAUAAUUGUAUCUUAACGUCCUUUAAGUAUCUAACUUUCUCUUGAUACCUCAAUCGGUAAUUCGUUGCCCCUUCUAAUUGAUACCCUUAUUGAUCAUCGCUAACCAUUCUUCGUUAUACAUUGAUAAUUGAUCAAUGGCCAUCCAUGUGGACAUCGAUGUAAAGAAAUAUCAAUAAGGAUUUUCAUGGUCAUCGAUAACAGUUCACGUGUUUAAGAAUGACUUGUGCUCUGCCUAUCCAUGUCGAGGACCUAACCAAAUUUUGGUGUAAACAAUUAGUAAGGUAUCGCAUGGUAGAAAUUGAUCAAUCUUAAAAGUAAAUUGCAGUAAUGAUUCAAUGCACGAAGACCCAUACAAAAACCACUAAGAGUGAGUGAGAAUUCAUUUAAGGUUGGUGUAGAACUGGUAAUUUUCUUGUCCGGAUGCCUUCACUCAAUUGAAACUUUGAAAAUGACUGUGGACCUCCAUGAAGAUGUUAGACAUGUCUUUGGACCAUAGCUGUUUGUGUCUUUUAUUUGAAAGAAGUGUAAGAUUUACAGUUUGAUGCCUGUCUUUAAAAUAUUCAGAACUCAAUUGCACUUUUUAUAAAACAUUGAAGGGACUUUUAAUCCAGUGUGAUUUUAAAUAAUGAAAUAUAGUCUUUGACAAGUAACAAUGAAUGGCAUUAUGUGGAAAUAUAAUGAGUAAAUUAAUGGAUGCUGCAAUCCAAAUCUAAUGCGAGACGAUAAAUUAUCGGAGAAUUCAACGAAACCUACAAUUCAAACACAACAUUUGAUAAUUUUGGUCUUCAAUACGGUCAUAACUGGAUGUAGUGCGACUCGAUGGCUUUUAUCAUACUAUAAUGGUUGUGGUGUUUACAUUUUGACCUGUUCAAAUUGUUGGGGGCUAAUUAUACAACCUAUAGGGGGUGAAUAGGUUGUUUUAGAAAUCUUGACAAUCUUUUGUGGACAAAUAGCUUACACUAAAUAAAGAUUUGAUCAAGGUGAUGUUUCAAAGCUCGUGAGUGUAUUGUGUGUUUGUGGAAGUAAUAAGAGAGAAAAAGAAAAACAGUAGUGCACAAGGAUUAUAGUGUUUCGGCUUUAUCCCCGAGUCUACAUUCAUUCCUCAAACUAACAGUCACAAGUUGGGCUAGGUUGCACUAUUAAUCUGCUCAUAAAGUUACAAUUGGCAAGCACUAAUCAUUUUAUACGAUCGAUCAUACUAUUAGGACUUAGCUGCUACUCUUACUUAAUCUUUAGUGCAAUUACUAAUAAAGCAAGAGAACAACACUAAGAGAAAUAGUCGGAAGGGAGCGUUUCGCUUGAGACACAACAUAUAGCAGAUUUUCGGUCUUUUGUAUGGCACAUUCCAACAUUUAGCUUCUAAGACCUUCUCUUUUAUAGCCAUCUUCAAUCUAUCCAUUGAAGAUGGAUUGAAGAAGCAAACUACUAUCCAAAGAUAGAACUACCAAUACAAUUUUUUUCCUGAACACUUGUAGACUACCUCAAAAUAGCUUUUGCUGCUAUCCCUUCUUUGCAGUUUCUAAUAGACCUAUUAGACAAUCUAGUUUCUCAAUUUCUAUCAUCACUUGGACUCUGCUGCUGUGCGAAUCCACUACCACAACAGCUACUUUGCUGAACCAACAAACAUUAUCAAACAAAUGUUGUUGCCAUAGUACCAUUUACCUUAUAUUUACAACCUUGAAUACAAACAUGGAAAUUAGUUGAUCUUUAAGUUAGUUGGUGCUGUUUCUAGAGAGACUGUAUUAAGACAUAUCGCGAUCUUUUAUCACUUGGAAUAAUACUUGUCACAAACAUCUGCAUUAGUCAUAGUAAAUAUUAUACUAUGGAUAGUUUGAAAAUCAUCAAAAUCACUUGAAGAUGUUUCUUCAACAGAAGAGUGUCAUAAAUCAAAAUGUGUGCUCCCUGGCCAAUGGGUUUGAGAGUUUAUUUGAAGCUAAAUUGGUCACUUUGAGACUUCAUUUGAAAUGGGCUCUACUUGGAGAACUUCAUUGAUUGGCAAGCAAACACUUUCCAAGCAACAACCCAAAGUAUCUCUCUCUCUCUCUUUUUCUUUCUUUUUCUGAAGAAGGGGGCAGUGAUUUACUAUUUUGUUUGGUCUUAGAUAAGGUCAAAAGGGACAAUUCGGACAUAUGAGCAUGUUGAAAACUUCCUUCUCUCCCACUCCGAUGAACAAGACGAAUUUCUUUCCACGUCCCUUCAAAAGAGAGUUUCACGAUUCAUUGAAUUUGGUAAAAGUCGUGACAUCCUUCUCAUAAAAAAAUCAAGAAAAAAAGAGAGAGAUGAUGAUACAAUCGUGUGCUUUAUGAAGGAAAAUAACACACAAAAGAAGUUGAAAAAGUAAAAAACAAAAGAAUAAAAGAAAGUCAAACUUGAGAGAAUGGUUGUUGAGUUGUAGCUUGGUUUGACGAUUUGGAAACCGUGUGUGAUGAAACUUAAGAAUUUUAGUUCCAUCUAAGUAUUUUUGUUCUUUCUCCUUGGCCCAUAGAAAUAGGUCAACUGGGUCUCUUCACAGGUGGUUUAAAGUCGAGAUCUGCUUUACUCAGGUCUCACUCUUUGACCUGAUUACCCCCAAGUUUAUAAACCGUAAGACCAUAUGUGUUUAUCUAAUGUCUAUUAUGAUAAUCAUUUACUUUUGGAAAUUAGCAUCAUUCAAUAAGUUGCUGUCAUCAUCGAGAAGGAACCUUGUGUGUUAUGUUUCAACAUGUUCAACUAAGGCUUGAAUUUAUGCUAGUUAAAAUCUAGAUGCAUGAAUAUCAAGUUGCAUCAUGUAAAAGAGAGCAGACUCCGAGUCUCUAGUUUCUAGGGAAAGAUUACGUUGCUGCCAGGUUAUAGUGUCAAUGCUACGACCGGAUUUUGCUGUAUUCAUUCAACAUAUGUUUGUGUCACCUACAAAUCAACGUAGUGUGUACAACAAUAGUUUGCCCUGAGUUUUUAACUUCCUUGGUUCCUUUUUCUUUGUAUGAAUUAUUUUUGCAUCUUUCUUACCGAUUUUUUGCUCACAGACUCCAAUUCAAGGGAUCAUGUGAAUUGGACUCACAUCAAUGAAAAUUAUUGAGUAAAUUGUGUUUUAACAUAUCAGUAACAUUGCACAAUCUAAAUCCUAUAUGAUUAAAUGACAAACUCUACAGAAAAUAUGAAAUAAUGCAUGUUGUGACAUUCCAAAGGGGCUUAAUUUUUUAGGGGUUUGUCAAGUAACCAAGUGGGCACAAAUAGUUCCUCUCAAGGUGGUACUUACUAUGCAAAUUGCUUUCUUCAAAGUUUCUAGUAAUCUAAUAUGUGUAGAUUAAAGAUAUAGUAAAUAUGAGGGAGUUUGUUUUACAACCAAAAGAUUCAGGUUGUAGACUUAAUUACGCCAAAUACUUAUUGAACGCCCUAAAAAUAAUGUAUCGUGCAAUCUUUUUUAUCUUUUACAUUUAUAUUUUCCUAAAAAAUUGAAAUGUGUCACUCUAUAUAAUCAAGCAAAGGGUGUUUAUACAAUCAAAUUUAAACAAAACAAAGUCAAACAAAACAUAAUAAUGUCAACAUAAGAUAAAGUAUGAUAAAGGAUAAACACGAGCCAUAUUAGGAAUUCAUGGCCUUAUUAUUAAGCCCAGGGAAGGACCUCGUGAGUAAUGCAUAAAAUUAAACAUGCCAUUGACCUAGCUAUUGAAUUCGAUUUCCUAGACUAGAUGAACCCAAAAAAAAAAAAAAAUUGAACCAAAUAAAAACUAGGGUAAGCAUGAAUUAACCAAGUUCAAAAAAUGUGAUUCUUAACUAAAUGCAACUCUUCAACCAAAAAAAUAAAAUAAAUGCAAAUCCAUUUUUUUAUUGUUGAUUUUUCCCACAUAAUAACAAUGAGUUAAAUAUAAAUCGAGACUACAUGUAAUGCCCCUAAAACUGAACACAAUGUUGGAAAUUGAACUAAAUUGGCCACCAACUUACGGAAAAGUGAAGGAAGCAUGACCGGACACGUAAUGCCCCUAAAGGGUUCCAUUCGGGCCACAAAAGAUCAUCACGAAACUCCCCGAAAAUUACACGAAAUUGACUAAUGAUUAAUCUGACAUAAAGAAAACGAAAAUUGUAUAUACCCCACGAUGCCUACAGGCUCCGUUGAUGGCAAUUUGGAUUGAAAAGUCUUUUUCCUUCAGACAAAGAAGAGGACUGGAAGGAAGACUACAAAUUACAACAAUUUGCAGAAGAGGACUUGAACGUAAUACCAAAUCAACGCCCUAGGUUGAAUUAAAAUUGAAAGGCGCAAACAUCGGCACAAGUGUAGAGAUGCGAUACCUGCGAGGAGGUGAGUGGCUUCGAGAUUGUCCCUAUCGUCCUCUCCACCAUCUGUUGGAGUGUAAUUUAUACCCUCUACCGAUAGGAAGGCACAAGAGUCCUACUUGUUACAUCAUUUGCUGGAUGUAACCCUAAUUUAAGGAUGAAUCAAGGUAAAAAUCUUGUAUUUCGAAUUCCUCUCUCAUUUUUACUCUCUAUUUUUUUGUGUUUGUGUGCCAAAUCCUAACACCAUCGAUAUUGCUCGAUGCCGUGAAGGCUCCCACAAGACGAGUUGCAUGAAUUGAGAAGGGAUCUAAUGUUGUUUUGGAUCGUCUCCUCCCCCAACACAAGAAGACUGACAUGUGAAGAGAAGAAGAGGAAGGGCACGGACUUGCAAUCAACGAAAAAGAGAACUCAAAGUCUAUGAUUUAGGGCAUAAACCUUUGAUUCGUGGCAAAGAAAUGAUUGGGCCAACAGUUGAGGGUUCAAAAACAAUUAGGGCAAAUAAACGAUUUGGGGCAAGGCGGAACCACGCUGCUUCGGAUUAGUAAAUGACUAAAUUGGCAUUCUUUUGCGAAUCAUUUCUCUGAGAGUUAAAUAAGACGUCUAUUCAAAUUUUAUUAGAUCAAGUGAAAAAUUGAUCAAUUGACUCAUUAUUGUAUUGAUAAAGGGUGGCCAAGUCAGCAAUCAACAUAUCAAAUAUUAUUUUAUAAAAUUGAUAAUGGAAUUGUCCCUUCAUCUCUAUCCAAUUACACAUUGAUUAGGUGGUAAAUCAAUAUACUAGAUAAAAGCAUUUUUUGAUAAAGAUAAAGGAAAUAAUCUAAGUCUUAAGAACUCGUUUGUCCCUCCUAUGCACUAGCCUAUAAAUCAACUAAUGCGUUCAAUGGUUGGUUGGUCAUCUUAGUUAUUAAACAUGGAAAAUUCAGAGAUUUCAAACCUCUAGGAAAAUGCUGGUUAUUGACUCAUUCAGAAAUGUGGUUUCUUGAAAAUAGGUAUGAUAACACCCCUGUCUAAUGCCAAUUGUCGUCAAACUUCUCCUACAAACAGUGUUAUGUUCAACUUUGGAUAUAGAUGGCCGUUUUGCCUCCUAGGUGGUAAUAUUGGCCUUGCCAGAUUGUAAACAUUAAUACCUAAUAGGAAUAUUUAUAUUGGGUGGAACUAGCCUUACAUCUUCAACAUUUGGCAAAUGACUAGUCUGUUGACCAGUUUGAUUUGCCAAAUUACUGUCAUUAAUUCAAUUAUUUCAACCAACAUUAGCCUGAUUAUUCUCAUCAUUGUAACCUUGAUUAGAAGAUUCAGGCCUUUACAUUAUUCUUAUAGGGGAUUGACUACUCUGACUAACAUUGUUGGCAUCAAUAAAUAAUAACAAACUAUGAAAGUACCUUGUUACCAUUGGAUUAGAUAAUGGUAGUUGAUUGAACGAUCCUAGCCUCAAGAAAAUAUCAUUCAUGUCAUUGAUGAUGAUUGGCUUGAUCCCAUCUUAUAUGUGACUCACAAUAUAAUUGGCUAUAUUGUUUCCCUACUCUUCGAACAAUCUCUUCAUGAUGGCCAACAUAUGAUGAUUUGGCACAACUUUUUUUAAUUGUUCUUUAGUGAGACGUCGAGAAAGGUCCGCCACCAUGCGUUGGCCUUCUUUUGCCUCUCAGCUAAUGGCCGAAGAUUUGAGAUGCACAGCGUGUCACUACCAAUGGGAUUGUUACCUAUGGCAUUGUCAAGCUCUCGAUGAUUCAUUGUUCUUUGCAUUGAAUUUCCCUAAAGCAAACCACAAGUUGUCCCAUAGGACGUGCCAAACAAAUGUUAUAUUGAAAUUCGACUCUGUGACAAGAUACAUUUCACCGUAAGUUGUUCUUUGGUUUUUUUUUUUUAAUUUUUCUAUUAAGAAGAUAGGUUUUGUGGUGAUUCCAAAUAGGAAAUAUUCAUAGGUAUACAAUAAAACUAAUAACUUUGCUUCAAACUAAACCAAGAGUAUGCAAACUUUACUAGAAUUUAAUAGAUGACAAAGCCUAAGAACAUAAAGAUUCAAUGCCAAGAUUUAAUCGAUGAUGAGGCACCCAAGGACAACAACAAAGAUAAACAUCAAAAUUUAAUCGACAAUGUGAAUUUGGAAUCUACAGCUAAGAAACACACUGGAAUAUAAUUAAAGACGUGAAUCUAAAAACUAUAACUACAAUGUAGCAAUGGAAAGAUAGCAUGUUUAUUUGUUUGGGUGCAGGGUGAGGGUCUUCAAAGAGUAGGGGGCGGCUAUUUAAAACUUACUUCAACCGUUACCAACGGAGGUUACAAGUAGAGAUUAUAAAUAGUUACCGAACGGUUACAUUGACAACACAAUCUAAACGAUCUAAUGAUUUUUUUACUAUGCUAUCUUGACAGUUGUUUUAUUCUACUACAUUGACGGUUGCAUCCGAGAUUGUUGACUCAAGUUUUUGUCAAUUCCUUCAAUUUGUCAAUUCAUCAAGUUGUUCAUUCUUCAAGUUAUCGAUUUUUUAAGUUGUCAAUAAUUUUGCUUAUAAAUGACUAAAAUCUGUUGUCAACUACUAAGUCUAUCACAUGUCACUAAUAAAUAAAAGUUAGAUCAUUUUUUGAGGUAAACGGGACCAAACAAGACCUCAUGGACAGAAAAAUGUGACCAUGGAACACUCAUAUAUGUUGGAGGGAGAGGAGCCAAUGCAUGCUCCUCCAUUUGGGAGCGUGUGGGCGGCCACCAAAACUCUCUCAUGGGCCGAAAUUAAGGGCCUCUCUCAUGGGCUGGGCGCUAGAUGGGCUUCAAAAUGAGGGCCGUUCUUCGUGGUUAAUUGAUAUGACACAUUUAAUGUGUUUGUGAAGUAUAAAAUGAUCCGCGAGCCUUGUUUCCCUUUUUUUAUUAUUAAAUUUUUCUUAUUUGUUAUAUUUAUUUUCACUUAUUAUAUUUAUCUUUCUAAUUUUUUUAUUUUAGUUGUUAUCUGUGAAUUGGAUUAUCCACACCAUAGUGAAAAUUCUGAAAUCUUAAUGUGCCUAAUCAUGAUGAGAUGUACCAAGCAAUGUGAAUACUAAAUUUUAUGGGGUCAAAAUUUCUUGAGUUAGGGGGUCAACUUAUGUGAUAAAUUAGAUCCCUAAUUUUGAUCAAAUGGAGUUUAGGACACCUGGAGUGCCAAAACAUGGCACGAAGGGACACUUAAGUGCCAAAACAUUGAAAAGGUACACUUAAGUGCCAGUUUUGAAGUAAAAUGGAUCACUUAAGUGCCACUCUUGCCAAAAUCCGGCCAAAUUGCUAAUGUGGCAAUUUUCCAGUGAGUUUGGUCCAAAACGGCAUCGUUUUGCACGCUGAUGUAACGAAAAAAUUUAAAAACGACGUCGUUUUGAGUCUGAUGUGUAAAUAAUAAUAUAAAAAUUAAUUAAAUUAAAUUUAAAAACAGUGGUGCUGGAAUUUCUUUCGCUGUGAUGUGUGGAUCUAUGGGAUGGAUGUGGAAAUUUCUUGACAUGGCAUUCUUCAAAAAAUAUCUUCAUCUGGAUCUUGUUUACCUCAUGUUAAAUUUUCAGAAUUUAUUGAGAUUGUUUACUAAUUUUUCAGGAUUUUUACUAAAGGGGUGCAUUAUGUUUUACCCGAAAAUUGGUUUUAAUUUUCAAAACCAUGAACUGCUUUAUGAAAUGUGGAUAUCGUGGGUGUUAUGUGUACUGCAUAUAUGGUGACGUUUGGCAUAUCNNNNNNNNNNNNNNNNNNNNNNNNNNNNNNNNNNNNNNNNNNNNNNNNNNNNNNNNNNNNNNNNNNNNNNNNNNNNNNNNNNNNNNNNNNNNNNNNNNNNNNNNNNNNNNNNNNNNNNNNNNNNNNNNNNNNNNNNNNNNNNNNNNNNNNNNNNNNNNNNNNNNNNNNNNNNNNNNNNNNNNNNNNNNNNNNNNNNNNNNNNNNNNNNNNNNNNNNNNNNNNNNNNNNNNNUUUUUUUAUUUUAUUUUUUUAAUUUUUAGAAUAUUUUAAAUAAAAUUAAGUUUUAAUUUAAUAUAAUUAAAUUUUAUAUUAUUAUUUAUACAUCAGACUCAAAAUGACAUCGUUUUUGUGUUUUCUCGCCACAUCAGCAUGCAAAACGAUGCUGUUUUGGACCAAACUCGCCGGAAAAUUGCCAUGUCUGCAAUUUGGCCGGAUUUUGGCCGGAGUGGCACUUAAAUGAUCUACUUUACUCCGAUUUUGGCACUUAAGUGUACAUUUUCAAAGUUUUGGCACUUAAGUGUCCCCCUAUGCUAAGUUUUGGUACUUCGAGUGUUCUUUACUUGAUCAAAUGCAAUGGAGACCCAUAUUUGAAAUUUAUGUUUCAACAAUGCACUUUUCACUUCUUUUCCCCUUUUUUUUUUUUUUUGCUUCAUACUUGUAUAAAUUUAACCUAGACAUUUGAUCACAAAUUUAUGAGUAGCUCAAUAAUCAUUAGUUCUGUAAUUCUUGUUUCUUUUCAAAUAGUCUAUUACAAACUAUGUAGGUCUCAUAUAAUUGAUAUUGAAUAACCCCAACUUGAGUCAUUACUCUCUUGUAGAGACGAACUUUCACAUGGAUAAGUUGCGAGUGAUCUUGAGAGUGCUAACAAGGAUGGUUUGGGAGGAAUUUGCAAGGCAUCAUCACUUCCUUUUAGCAUCUCCACAACUUGGGUCAUACAUGGUUGAGCUUUUGGAUCAAUUUGAAUACACCAUAAGCCAAUUACAAUCAUCUUCUUGGCAAUUACUUUGUCCUCUUCAUUUGUGAUCUUGUGUAGCCCAAGCUCUUUUCGAAGCUCCAGGUGUUGGUAGACCCAAUGAGGGAAGUAUGUUUUGCUUGUAUGAUCUACUGUGACUUCAAUUUUUUUUCCUCCUGUAGCUAUAGACAUCCAAUUUGUGAGAAAACCCUUUGAUAUUCCUCAUGAACAGCUACGGAGCAAUGUGUCCGGGGUACCUCGAGCACCUAACAUUGACACAAUGCUCUCUUGUCUUGGGCAUAUCUUAGGAAGACCAAAGUUGGAAAUCUUAGGACAAUAGUUUGCAUCAAGAAGAAUAUUGUGAGGCUUUAUGUCAAAGUGCAAGAUCCUCGUGUUGCAACCUCUAUGCAAGGACUCUAGCCCGUGAGCUAUGUAAAGGGAAAUCAGGUACAAUGUGUCCCAACUGAAUAGUUGAUCUAACUCUAGUGUGUUACUCUUGUUAAAUAUAGACUUUUUGAGGGAUCCACUGGGCAUGAACUCAUAAACCAAAGCUCUUUUACUUCCUUCGAAAUGGAAUCCCAGGAGGUUGACAACAUUGACAUGAGAAAUCCUGCUUAUGCUUGCAACUUCAUUGAAAAAUUCUUCAGCAUCGCCUUUAAGCUUCUUUAGAAGCUUGACUGCCAAAAGCUGACCAUUUUCAAGCUUGCCUUUGUACACAUAACCAUAGCCUCCCUAGCCUAACUUUUCUUCAAAAGAGAUGGUCAUCCUCUUAAUGUCUUUGUAGGUGUAUCGUCUCGAAGAGACAAGUCCCUCGAUUUUCAUUUUGCCAUCGAAAUGUUCACUCCUUUGCUUGAUCAAAGCCAUAAUUCUUCUUAUCAAUGGUUUCUUCUUUAAGAAAAACAUUAAAAUAAGGGUGAUCCCAAUUCCAACUCUUGAUGCUGCUAUUCCUGAAAAAACAUAGAACAUUUCAAAACAGCAAUCUCACUUCAUCACUUUAUUGAGGCUUCUAAGUUGCGAAUCUUUAUAGAAAAUAGACAACGAAAAACAUAAUUUAAUGGAUUACCUAUUAAGGCUUUUGUCCCCAAAAUGCCACGUUUUCAUGCCAUGACACAAAUGCUUAUCUAAUAAACCCCGAAUGAAGUUGCGAUGAAACUAGUAAAAGAGUGCUUCCUACAGUGCGGUAGAUCAUGCGUAUAUCUUGAAUGGAAGCAUGUGCUCAUGCUUGGAUCCACCCUAAAAAAAAACUAUUUUAUAUGCAGAGUUCAAAUCUAUCAAUGUUUUUUUUUUUUUCAACUGCACGCGUGGUCAGAUUUUGGCAUCACUAAUGGAGGCAGAAGCUUUUUUCUGUUUGGUUGCGAGCACAACAAAAUUCUGCAAAGAAAGUCAAGUCGCUUUAAUCUAACAUAUCCAAAUUUUACCGUGAAUUUGGUGCAUCUUCACUCAAUACAUUAAAACAAUUGGAUCUUGUGGGAUGCAUAUGGCAACCUCAAGAUCAAACAAUCAAGGCAGAGAAGGUUGAGGUGAAGUUCUAAUUUACAUUUUCUCUCCGCAUAUAAAAAUGAAAGAUCAAGCAAAGCAGUAGAUAUGAAAUCUCAAUCAAGAAGCAAAAGUAGAAAACUGAAUCCCCCAGGCAUUUACCAUCAUUGCAGCUAUAAGAAUGAGGAGCAUCUUAGCAAAGGCAAACAGAACACUUGCCGCAUUAAUUGCAGUCCAGUUCAAUAGGAACCCCUUCUUACUCUCACUGUAAUCCAUAGACAUCAGGGCUGGGGAAAUUGGCAUUUACAUAUACAGGUAUGCUAACUGUAGAGUAGCAGGAGCUGACAGCAGAAUAGUAAUCCAUUUCCUACAAUGCUUCCUUGGAAGAAAAGCAAAAGAAUGGUGGGUGGAAUUGCUAGCACAGUCCACUAAAUAUGUAAAAACUUGUUGGCUAUGAUAAUGCAAUUAUAGUAGAAGAAGAAAUUGGCAUUAGUGGAACUGAGAUUGAAAGCCCAUCUUUCGAGGCUGAUGUUACGCGCAGGAGCAUCACUCGAUUCCCGGUACAUGGGGGCAUUCAACAAGAGGAAUGAAUUGUGCGCAUACAAGAUAUCCUUGAUAUUGAACCCCAUGUCCGAGAAAGUUAGGACAAGGUAUAUCUCUUUGUAGGUAAUCUCGAAACUCGGAUUGCCACUAUAGGACUCUUGUUCGCCAGAAGUCCUGAAAGGGUAGCUGAUGUUCGGCUGAUAUUUGCAAUUCUGAGGCAUACAAGCCUCGUGUUGUGCAUCAUCUGAUAAAGCCGGAUAGACUAAGUUGGUGAAGAUGAUGUUAAUGACCAAUUGGUGACAAGUAGCUACUCACAUGAAGUUUUGGUGAUUCAUUUGGACCAGAAGGAGGCAGAGGAUUGUAGAGGAUAGGAGAAAGAGGUAGGAGAGAGUGCGAAAAGCAUUUGUAGAAAAAUCAAAUGUAGUUGGUUUGAAUUGGUCCUAACUCCUAUCACUGUUGGGUGUUAGUUCUUCAACUUUGAAGCCAAUACCAAGCGAGGCAAAAAGUGGUUUGAAGCAUGCAUAUGUAUUGAAUUGAAGCAUGUAUGGCCCAUGCUUGGAUCCACACUCAUUAUAGUGCUUAUGCUAAUCAUAAAUAAGGUCAUGUCACGAUGAAAACCUAUAGCACGAUAGAGUUCAUUAUAUGUACAAUUCAAAUCUAUCAAUGUUACCUAUUUCAACUAAACACCUCAUCAGAUUUUAGCACCAUUAGAAUGAACGAAAGCUUUCUUUCUUUCUUUCUUUCUUGUUUGGUCGUGUGUACAAGAAAAUCCCACAAAGAAAAGCAAGUUAUUUUGGUCCAACAUUUGAAAUUUUUACUGUGAAUUUGGUGUAGCUUUAGCUUCACUCAAUGCUUUUUAACCACUGGAUCUUGUGGGACGCAGAUACCAACCUCCGCACGUCGAAAUGAAGAUCAAGCAAAACAUUAGAUAUGAAAACUUAGUCAAGAAGCAAAAACAGAAAAAACUCCCCCAUCCACUUACCAUCAUUGCAGCUUUGAGGAUGAGGACCAUCUUGGCAAAAGCAAACAAAUCAUCAUUCUCGAAUCCACACGAUCCCUCACUUCCGUCGCAGUCGCUACAAUUAAAUGCGGUCUAGUUCAAAAGCAACCCCAUUUCCAUAAUCUCACUAUAAUUCAUAGUCGCCAAGCUAUCGAUAUUUGCAUUAACAUAAAUAGGUACACUAACUGCAGAGUCACAGGUGCUGACGGCAAAAUACAAAUAUAUUUCCUGCGAUACUUCCUCGGGAAAAUAAGCAAAAGAGUGGUGAGUGGAGUUGCUAGCACAGUCCACUAGAUAUGUAAAAUCUAGCGGCGGUCAGGUGCAAUUAUAGUAGAAGAAGAAAUCGGCAUUAGUGGAACUGAGAAUGAAAGGUGUGCCUUCGAGGCUGAUAUUACACGGUGGAGCACCACAAGUGUCAUGGUACACGAGGGCAUCAACCAAGAGGAUAGAAUGGUUCGCGUAGAAGAUUUCCUUGAUGAUGAACUCACUGAUCGAGAAAUUCGGGACUGGGAAUAUCCCUACACAGGUGAUCUUGAAAUUCGGAUAACCACAAUAGGAGUCUUGCUCGCCUAAAAUCUCGAAAGGGUAGCUGAUGUCUGAGCCAUAUCUGUAGUUCUGAGGUGUGCAGGCCUCGUAUUGCGCACCUUCAAAUACAUCUUUAUAGACUAAGGGUGCGCAUGACAACGUUUCUAUUUUGGGGAACUAUUUUUUUUUUUUAGAAAGAGUUUUUUUCUAUUUCUGCUCCGAGAACAAUUUUUGAGUAAAAUAAGGUGUUUGGUAAUUAUAUAAAAUUUAUAUUCUUGGAAUAUAAAAAGAAUAGAAAUGCGUUUGUAAAAAGUUAUAAAUUUUUGUAUUGAUUUGUUUUUUCUUCUUACUCACGGACCACUGAUCGUUGCCCGCCGCCACACGACAGCCGCAUGACGGCAGCAUGACCGCCGCACGACCGUCACACACGGGCCCCACGACUGCCGCACGAUUGCCAAUUGUUGCCACCGACCACCGUCGCAGGAUUGCCGCCCAUAGCCCACCGGUUGCUGGAGGGGGCAGUGGCCAGUGAGCUAUGGGUGGUGAUCGGCGGCGACAGGUGGCAGUCAUGCGGCGGUUGGCGACGGCAAGCUACCGGUGGACGGUGGCGGUCGUCGGCCGGUGGGCUACGAGUGGUAGCAACUGUUGCGGCAACUGUCGCCUAUGAUCGGCUGUCGAUAGUGGCCGCGGGUAGCAGGAGGUGGCCGACGGUUGGCAAGCAGCUGGUGGUGGUUGCAACAAGGAAGAAGAGCAAAAGAAAAAUAGGAAAAAAAAAAUUAUUUCUAGAAAUUGUUCCCAAGAACAAGAAGCUAUUUUUUUUUUUCUUGUUUCUGUUCCAAAUCUAUUCCCCAACCAUUUUUCUAUUCCAAGGAAUAGAAAAAUAAGUUGACGUUACCAAACAGAUUUCGGUUCUUUUUUUGUUCCGGGGAACAAAAGAAUAGAAAUCAGGAGAAAUAGAAACGUUACCAUGCAAGCCCUAAGAUGGCGAAGAUAACGACAAGGCCCAACCAGCAACAACUAGCUCCAUAGUUGAAGCUCUGGAGAUUCAUUUGGACUAGAAGGAGGCAAAGCAGGAUAGAAGAGAAAUCAAAUGGAGUUAGUUUGAAUUGGUCCUAGCUCCAAUAAUUGUCAUGCGCUAGUUCAUCGACUCCGAAGUAAAUGCCAAGUGAGGUAGAAAUUGGUCCCAUGCAUCCAUUAUUCAAGCACCCAAUGUAAAUGCAUCAUUGUCCUACACGGAAAAUCUACACUAGAAAGUCUUGAGGAACUGACCACGAUACUUCCUAGUCGAAGGGACCUCUUAAUAACGAUUCAUUGGAGGGCCCGGCUAUGUGUUGAAGUGUUGAAAUUGAUGACGAUCUACCAAAUCGUUAGGAACAAACCUUGAACCAUCUGAGCCAAAGGGACCUCUAAAUAACACUUGGGAACAAAGUUCCCGUUACAAAAAUCUUAAGAAAAAAGUAUCAAUUCAGUUCUAUACCUAUUAUAUGAGUGUCAAUUCAAUCCUAAAUUUCUCAAAUUUAUUAUUAUAAUUAUAAGUUUGACGAGAUAUUCCUACAUAGUAUUUUCGACCAAUUGCUGUCAGAAAUUGUUGAUGUGAUGAUCCACAUAUAGUACGAUCAGCGAUGAUUGGACACCAUACUAACAAUUUCCGACGUCAGUUUUUCGGAAGAACUACUUUGAAAUUUCGAGUAAAUGUUUAGGACUGCAUUGAUAAAAUUGAUAAAUGUAUGACAUAAUUAGCAUUUAGACAAUAAAUUUGGGACUGACUAGGUAAUUAUCCCACAAUUCUUACUAAGCAACGCAAAAAAUUGUUCAUUUUUCAUCAUUUCAUCCAUUAUACAAAUUUUAGUGCUAGCAGAAAAAAAAAUUAUGAUGCAUAUUUCCUUGGGAUUUUUGUCCCACAUAGGAGUUGCAACUCCCUUUAAUGUAGCCUAUGACCCAAUGCUGUCAUGGUGUUAGUAAACACCUGCGUUUAAGUGUCUUAAAUCUCAAUUAUUAUUAGUAAGUUUUAUGGUAGCGAAAUUUUCAUGAUUAAAUUUUACAGAAUAUAGUGUUUAUGGAAAGUUGCAGGGGUUGGCAUUUUUUAUGUUCUCUUUUACACUUUUAGUAACCAAUAAGCUAAUAACUCGGUGGCUCGUAUUAUAUAUGUCGCGACCUACCCCUCGGGGGGAGGGAAUAGGUUUAAAGGGCAUUACCUAAAGAACGGACCUAAGACCCAUGAUUAGGCAAGAGCUCUCCCUAGCCCAUACCUUGCACGAUAUUGAGGUCUUUUUAAGAAUUUCGCAAUUAAGAAUCGCCACUAACCUAUUGGAGUUAGCUAGGAACCAAGUAAGGUAUGGGAGUGUACCUCGCUUCCCACACAACUAGAGAAACCAGGGUUUAAGAGAAAACUAUUCAAAAACUAAUUUUUUAAAUUUUUUUAGAUUUUAUAAAAAAAUAAAAACAUUCGAAAUUAUAUAUAUAUAUAUAUAUAUAUAUUUGCAAUUUUUUAUCCUGAAAAUUGUAACUCAGGCCGCGCCCUCGGCCCAAUUCAAAUGUGGGUCGGGUAAAGACUCAUGGGUUUGGGUCAUGAACACUAAAAGCCUAAUUGAAGAAGUGGGCUCAAUGACUUAAACCCAUUCGAAAAAGGGCCAAGAUCAAGUCCAAAUUUAUCAAAUGAAAACACUUAAGCCCACUUACACUACGAUCACUUUAAAACAACUUCCAGCACGUCCGAAAUAAGCCCGGCUCCGAAAUUAGCCCACUUACUUGACCUAUCCACAAACUCCUCCUUCGACAUGAAAAUAACCUUAAACCCAAUAAACUAACCUAAGCCCAACAACAAAAUUCAGCCCGAACCAAACACAAGGCCCCCCACGUCUUGAGUCCAAGUUGGACUCAUCCCAUCCCCUGAACAGCAGCUUCUCUCCCACGCCCACGCCCACGCCCACGCCAGAGACUCCGCCAAGUCUCACCGACGUCCGCCCAUCAUCAGACGAGAUCACGCAAAUGUGUAUAUCCCCAGAUCCCCAACACAAGAUACCACCAGUUAUCGGACCGCUGCCCUUCAACAACAAUCCCCAUCAUCCUUCGUUUAAAACUCAUCCUCAUGGCCACGCCACCACUGCAAAGAGCCUUCAUAGAACAUACCAAAACACAAAACAAAAGGCACCAAGAACUUGGGGGAGAUCAAACUCGUAGAAAUGAAACUGACUGAAUAUAUCCCACGGACUUAGAAGCCUAAUACCGCCCAAAAAAAAAAGAAANNNNNNNNNNNNNNNNNNNNNNNNNNNNNNNNNNNNNNNNNNNNNNNNNNNNNNNNNNNNNNNNNNNNNNNNNNNNNNNNNNNNNNNNNNNNNNNNNNNNUUGAAUCAUCAGCAUAAGUAGGAAUCCAAGACUAAACCGAAAGGUUUUAGUUCGGCAUUGCUCGAACACAUGGUGGAACACGGAUGGAUAAGAAAACUUAGACCUAUCUUCAGAACUCGAACUCACAUUCGCACUCGAGAAUAUCGACAAACAAAGCUCGAAAACAACAGAUACAGGCUGUUUGAAGACAAAUCCAUGAAUACUAGAUAUAGCAAGCCUCAAUUUCAUGGUCUAGCCAAAAUUUGUUUAGGCAACGAAAGACUCGCAGGAUGAGCUCGAGAUGAGCUGAACUAUGGCCGGUCGCCUUGGUGUCUCCGAGUCAAAAUCCUCGAGGCUAGGGAAGUUCGGACCGAAAGGACACUUACCGGAUAUUUGGGUAUCGGGAAAGCAAAGUCGGGACGACAAGGAUAGCGGCCGAGGUCAUCGAACGAGACUCCGGCGUGGCCAAGCGACCGGAGAAUUCCUUCUCACUCUCAGUCGUUCUCUCAGUUCCUUUCCCUCCGACUCUCUUUCCCUCUCUCGAAUCUCCUCUCUCUCUAUCCCGGUCUCCUAUCCCCCUUUCUGUCUCCCCCGCUCCCAUCUCCGUUUUAACCUACUCAGCUGUCUCUGCUGGCCUGAUCCCCGACCACCAACUCCAGUCGAACGCUCCCCCCUGCCUCCUCUGCCUCUGUCGUCUCCUUUGCUCGUACCCAGCGUCCUUCCUCUUCACCGUAGCAGAAUGCAUAGGGAAAAGAGGGAAAGAGGAGGAGAGGGCCGGGCUUACGCGUGGAGGGAAAAGCUGGGCCGGGCUUGGAAGAGUAGAAGGAAAAGAAGGGGUCGAGGCCCAGGCCCAUGCGGGGAAAGGAAGGAAAGGCGUUUUUUUUUUUUUUAAAGUAUCUAUUUGAGAAAAAAUUAGGUGUUAACAAUAUAUAUGGCUAUGAUUAAGAGAUUAAUGAUCUCAAAUCAUUGCGAGCACAAUUUAAUACGUAAUCAAGAGCUAUAAUGUUGUAGUAUUUUCAUUUUCUAAAAUUUUCAAUUAUAAUACUUUACGGAACAAUAAUCCUGAGAAACUGCUAGAGAAAAAAGAUCUAAACAUCACACCAAGUACAUAUAUACAUAUGAUAUACAUGAAAGCAUUGAAUUUCGAAAUUUGGACUGUCGGCACCGUGCAUUGACGCAAUAAAUUAUGUCUCCAUUUUAAGUCAUGUACAGAAUCUGAUCCAUUUAGAGGAUUUAUUGAUUUUUUUUCAAAAUCUAAAUGCUCGUUUUUUUAGUCCAAAUCAAAUCUGGCUCUUGGGGUGGUGGAUGUUGAUUUUCUUUUCCGUUGGAGAAGGACAUAUUUGACCGGUUUGACUUCUUGUAUUUUCAUUAUAUUACGUACUAGGGGUGAACGGUUCCAAGUUUUUUACAGGUUCUGCCCGGAACCUGGAACCUAUCAUCAAGUAUAGGUUCCUAAUUUUUUGGAACCUGGAACCUAUCCGUUUGAACUUGGAACUUGGAACUUAUUAGGGUCGAUUCUAGGUUCUUACAAGUUCUUUUUUUUUUCUUUUUUCUUUUUUCAGUGCGGUACGGNNNNNNNNNNNNNNNNNNNNNNNNNNNNNNNNNNNNNNNNNNNNNNNNNNNNNNNNNNNNNNNNNNNNNNNNNNNNNNNNNNNNNNNNNNNNNNNNNNNNNNNNNNNNNNNNNAGUUUCAUUAGCAUAAGACCAUUUUUAGAAGCUCUAUGUUGGGAAAGUCUCUCUGUCACAGCUCAAUGGGACUUCCUAACAACUAUGCAUUGGAAAAGUUCAGAUCGUCUACUUAGGAAGACCCAUCAAAUAUGCAAUUAUUUGUCAACUCAUCCUCAAGAAGUUCUAACCUACAAAUUUUUAAAACAUGUAUAGGAAGAGCUAUUGUGUACUUAAUAAAUAUAUUCAUUACUUUGUGAAACAAGAGCUUUUUAGUCACACUUACCUUGGUAGACCGUAAAGAACAAGAAUGGCUGUAACUUUUCAUUUCCUUGUCAAUUUCUGGGGUUGAGUUUUCAUUCCAACAAGCCUGUGGCCCCCAAGUUUGGGCCGUCUAUGAACCUGAAUACAAAAGCAAUGAAGCGAGUGUAAAAUUGAACAGGUGAAUCUUGCUCAAGGAUUUACUCUGGAUUUCCUGAAAGCAAAAUUAGUAGAUGUCCAAUAUCAUACACUGGACACAGUUUGCUCCUCGGAAAGACAUAAAACUCUUGUCUCAAGCAUGUGAUGGUGGCCCUACAGAAAAACUAGCAUCAGGAAUGGUGCGCCAACUUUGAAAGAAAACCCAAACCUCAUACCAUGUCGAACAUUUUUUUUCUCCAACAAUAGCCUCAUUAAGUGCUUGUCUUUCAACCAAAAGCAUUGGAAUUUGCUGAUCCAAUUUCAUGUUCAUUCCUUCAUAGUAGUCUCUGAUCGCAUGAUAAAGUGGUUGACAGUCACUAGUGUCCAUGAUAGCAGAUUCCAUGCACUCGAGGCAUAAACUUUGUCCAUCUCCCAAAGAUAUGUAUGUUGUGUUCCAUGACUGUUAGUAGGUAAAAUAAAUAUAAAACAAAAAAAAAAAACAAAAAAAUGAGUACAGUUGCUUCAACACAUUUAAAAUAUACAAUCCACAAUAUUGUGGGAACAAAGCAUGGCAUUGCAUUUACUUUUGCUAGCCUAGACCACUACCUCCAAACGCUCGCAACUACAACAUCGAGCUGUGUUGUCAUGCUCAUGCGACGGACAGUACUUUUGGGACUAGAAAGGAUGGCAUAUAUACUCAAUCAAACUAGCUCUAUUUGUUGGGAUUUGUGAAAUGAAAUAGAAGCUUACAAUAGAAUCAAAAGGUAAAAUACUAAAGUUACAUUAAUGCCAUACUCCCUUGAAAUUGCAUAAACAUAACAGACAAGAACAACUUGGACUCAGCUUCUCUCACUUCAGUAGCAUGCCUUUUUUUUUAACAAAUCUUAGGUCUACAUACUGAAGGCUCAAUGAGCAAAAUAUGGUCCACUUGUCAUUAACAUGAGCAUAACAUGGUCUAGUUAAAUGACCUAAAUUCAACUAUCAUACGUGCUACAAAAACAUUUUGCAAGCUAAGAAUCCAAAUAAACUGAAAUAAAUCCAACCCUACCAUCUUUUCAUCGAUCAGCCGGUAGGCCCCCGCUGGAGUUUCCAAGAGCGUCCUGCAUCGCCCCCGACUAGACAGGCAGAAGGAGAGAGAGAGUGGGGGUGCGACUGAGCUAGAGGUGGGGUGGAGGUGGAGGCGGAGGCGAAGGGGUGUGGAGUUAAGGCUAAUUGGGUGGCUGGGCAAGUGACGAGUGGCGUUGGGGCGACUAGGCGAGCAGUAAGCGGCUUCGAGGCGACUGGGCAAGUGGCGAGCAGUGUCGGGGUGGCUAGGUGAGUGACAAGUAGCAUCGGGGCGGUUGGGCGAGCAAGUAGCCUCCAUUGGGGGGACGAGCGAUGUCUAACGGUGGCGUCGACGGCAAGCGGCUAAGCGACGAGGCGAGCGAGGGGUGAUGGCGUCUGGUGGCGAUGUCGAGGGAGGUCCAGCAACGGCAAGCACGUAGCAACGGCGACAAAGACAUGAGUCUCACGGCAUCAAUGGCGGCACCAACAGCGCAGCGAAGACGGCGGCAGUCACGGCUCAACUCGCAGUUAAGGGGGGAAGAGCUCGGUUUGUGUGGGGGUGGUGGUGGUUUGGAGCAACGACGGCUCGGACAGCCAAGCGAGCGGCAGCAAGAGGUGGUGACGGUGGCUUGGGGACGGUGGCGGUGGCUCUUGGCGGCAAGCGGCGGCGCAGACGGCGCGACAGCUUGUCGGGCUCAACGACGAGACGGCUCGUCGAACAAGAGGUGGGUGGUGGUGGUUCGGUGGCCAAGAGGUGGUGGUGAGUAGGGCAUGGGGCGGCACUGUGGUGGUGGGUGAAGCAGCAGCCAGCAAGAGGAAAGAAGGAAGAAGAAGAAUAAGAAGAAGAAGAGAAGAAGAAGGGGGAUUUCGGCCGAGAGAGGGGGAGAGAAAGAGAGAGAGAGAGAAGAAAAGAAAAAAAAUGGGUGGGGGAGUAGGUAGUGACGUGAGGAGGAAAAAUGGUUGAAAAGAAAGAGAAAGAGAGAAAAAGAAAGGGGAAGGGGGGAAAUCAAGUGGGGUGCUCUAGAGUUUUUUUUUUUUUUUAUUAAAUCUAACCGGUUUCGGUUCCACCGGUUCCCAGAAAAAGGGAACUAGGAACCGGCACCGGUCUUCUUAGAACCGGGAACCGAACUGGACCCUCCGGUGCAGUUCUCCGGUUCCCGAUUCUACCCAUGAACCACACUCACCCCUAUUACAUACACGAUAUGAAGGCGCUUCUUUUGAAUAUAUGCAAAAGGAAGGGCUCAAAUAUAUUCUCUAAAAGAGAGAGAGAGAGAAGAAAAGAAAAAAGUGGGUGGGGGAGUAGGUAGUGACGUGAGGAGGAAAAAUGGUUGAAAAGAAAGAGAGAGAGAAAAAGAAAGGGGAAGGGGGGAAACCACGUGGGGUGCUCUAGAGUUUUUUUUUUUUUUUAAAAUUUAACAGGUUCCAAUUCUACCGGUUCCCAGAAAAAGGGAACCGAGAACCGGCACUGGUCUUCUUAGAACCGGGAAUCGAACUGGACCCUCCGGUGCAGUUCUCCAGUUCCCGGUUCUACCCAUGUACCACGCUCACUCCUAUUACGUACACGAUAAGAAGGCACUUCUUUUGAAUAUAUGCAAAAGGAAGGGCUCAAAUAUAUUCUCUAAAAGAAGUUGGGGACGUCUCUACUAAAAGGCACUUGAAGUAUAUGCGAGUCCAGGUUAGAAGCAGUAGAUAUGUUGAGCCUUGUAAAUACUCUAUUACAAAUUAUGUUAGUCUGAUGUAAUUGAUAUUGAAUUGUCCUGAGUCAUUACUCUCUGGUAUAGACGAACUUUCACAUGGACAAGCCUCGGGUGAUCUUGAGAGUGAUGACAAGGAUGGUUUGGGAGGAAUUUGUAAGGUCUCAACACUACCUUUUAGCAUCUCCACAACUCUGGUCAUCGAUGGUCGAGCUCUUGGAUCAAUCUGAAUGCACCAUAAGCCUAUUACAAUCAUCUUCUUUGCAAUUCCUUCAUCCUCCUCAUUCGUGAUCCCAUGCAGGCCAAGCUCUUCUCGGAGCUCCAAGCGUCGGUGGACCCAAUGAGGAAAGUAUAUUUCACUCGUAUGAUCUACUAUGACUUCAAUGUUUUUCCUCCUACCGACCAUCUCUAGAACCAUCAUGCCAUAACUAUAGACAUCUGAUUUGUGAGAAACCCCUCCGAUGUUCCUUAUGAUUAGCUUUGGAGCAAUGUAUCCGGCGGUGCCUCGGGCACCAAGCAAUGACACGAUGCUCUCCUCUUGGGCAUAUUUUGGCAAGACCAAAGUCGGAAAUCUUGGGACGAUAGUUUGCAUCAAGAAGAAUGUUGUGAGGCUUUAUGUCGAAGUGCAGGAUCCUUGUAUUACAUCCUCUAUGCAAGUACUCUAGCCCGUGAGCUAUGCCGAGCGAAAUUUGGUACAAUGCGUCCCAACUCAAUUGCUGAUCUACCUCCAAAGUGUUACUCCUGUUGAAUAUGAAUUUUUCGAGAGAUCCAUUGGGCAUGAACUCAUAAACCAAAGCUCUUUUGCUUCCUUCAAAACAAAACCCCAAGAGGUUAACAACAUUGAUAUGAGAAGUCCUACUUAUGCUCGCAACUUCAUUGAAAAAUUCUUCAGCAUUGCCUUUCAGCUUCUUUAGAAGCUUUACUGCCACAAAUUGAUCAUCUCGAAGCUUGCCUUUAUACACGCAGCCAUAGCCUCCCUCACCUAACUUUUCUUUGAAAGAGUUGGUCAUCCUCUUGAUGUCUUUGUAGGUAUAUCUUCUCGAAGAGACGAGUCCCUCAAUCUUCAUUUCACCAUCGAAUUUUUCACUCCUUUGCUUUAUCAAAGCCAUAAUAAUUCUAAUCACUGAUUUCUUCAUGAAGGAAAGCAUUAAAAUAAGGGUGAUCCCAAUUCCAGCUCCCGAUGCAGCCAUUCCUGAAAAAAUGGAGAAUAUUUUUGAACAGCAAUCUCACUUCUUCAAGGCUUCUAGGAUAUUUUGGAAAUAUUGAUUCCUUUGAGCAACGAUGCAAGAUUAUUGCCAAAAAGUCGCAACAAAUUGCGGAGGAGAUGUAGAGAAGCGGAAGAGAAAGUCUUGAAAUAAUUACCUAUUCCAAUUUUCAUUCCAACCUUUUGCUUUCCUGAGACAAUAGUCAUCAAGAGUGAAAAAUGUGUCAACGAAUUGCAAACUGAUAACUUCAAAGUGUCUAAGACAAAUAAAGAACAGGCACAUCAUGAGGUAAUAGAUCAUUCUGUUUCAAGGAAGAAAAAAAAGCCCCCUGAUCGAGUAAAAAUAUUACAGAUUCACCAGUUUGGAUCAAUUAGUGACAUCUUACCAGAGAAAUUGGAAACACAUACAAAUGGAUCUGCGCCUGAUUGACUACCAAGUAUAGACAUUAGCUAAAAUCCUUAAUUCUCGAGCUAUCAGGGGAUGAACAGGAAGACAGCAAAAAAAGUUAGCUGGUUUAGAAGUAGCAAACACGCUGCAAUAUGAUUGACGAUGUGGUAUCAAAGGCGGACACAGAUAAAACUUUCUGUGUAUUGAAUGGGCGGUAUAUUCUGGACAUGUCUCGACUCUUUUAGUCUCUAAGCGGACCUAUAGGUUUGAUCAGAGGUCGUCCCACGUAUAAAACUAGCGGGCAGCUCAUGUUCAGGCAAGAAUGAACACCCAAUUGAUAACUAGCAAACUAUUGCAGAAAGAUACAAACAUCAAACUAUUGCAGAAAGAUAGAAAUAUCAAAAUAUGAGGUUCCCAUAAGAUGUCUUGGGACACAACAGAUCGGAGAGUUUUGUUUGCAGCGGUAAGCAAGUCCGCAGUCUAAGCUAAGGCAAAGAAAUCGGAUAAGCUUGAGGACAUUAUUCACGGCACGUAUAAAUGAUACAGUAAUUAAAUAACAGUAAAAACAUUUUCAGUAUUUAUUUCCCCACUAUCAUCAUGAACAAAAUUUUCAUUGAUUGUGCAAGAUUUAAUUAAGUGCGCAGUUCACCUCUAUCAAUAAUAUAUUUCAACUACCCAAAUGAUCAUUUGGUUGUGUUCAUAAUAAAAGCCCAAGAAGAAACUUGUAGUUUUAGCCCAACAUUUGCAAAAUUUUACAGUGACGUCGGAGCAUCUUCACUCAAUUUAUUUAACCAUUUGAUGUUAUGGUCGUAGAUACCGACCUAAAGAGCUAACUAUUAACUGCAGUCCAGUUCAAUAGGAACCCUUCUUCAAGCCCGUGAAAUCGGCGUUAAUGUAAAGAGGAAUGCUAACUGCGGAAUAGCAGGAGCUGACGACAGAAUAGUAAUCCAUUUCCUGCAAUGCUUCCUCAGGAAAAAAAGUAAAAGAAUGGUGGGUGAAGUUGCGAGGACAAUUUUGACCGAAUAAAAAAAAAAAAAAAAACGAGGACAGUCCACUGGAUUUGUAAAAGCUUGUUGACUGCGAGGUGCAAUUAUAGUAGAAGAACAGAUCAGCAUUAGUGGAACUGAGAUUGAAAUGCGUCCUUUCAAGACUAAUAUUAUGGGGUGGAGCAUCACAGGAUUACUGCUACACGGGCAUUAGCCAGGAGGAACCAAUUGUUCGCAUAGAAGAUAUCCUUGAUAGUGAAUUCCCCAUUCGAGAAAGUCAGGACAGGGUAUGUCUCUUUGCAGGUAAUCUUGAAAUUCAAAUAGCCCCAAUAGGACUCUUGUUCGCCAUAAAUCCUAAAAGAGUAGCUGAUUUUCGGCCCAUAUAUGCAGUUCCGAGGCAUGCAGCCCUCAUACUGUGCAUGAUCUGAUAGAGGUCGAUAGAAGUUGGUGAAGAUGAUGAUAAAGACCAAUUGGUGACAAUUUGCUACACACAUGAAGUUUGGAUGAUUCAUUUGGACCGGAAGGAGGAAGAGGAUUUCAGAACAUAGGAGAAAGAGGUAGGAGAGAGAGUGGAAAACAUUUGCAGAAACAUCAAAUGGAGUUGGUUUGAAUCGGUCCUAACUCCUAUUACAGUGAUGUGUCAGUUUUUCAACUUCGAAGCAUAUACCAAGCGAGGCAGCGGAAACGAGUCAAAGGGACUUCCAAAUUACAAUUAGGAACAAACCUCACAUUAUACUAAUCUUUGCGACUAGUCAGCGAAAACGAGUCUCUCUCAUGAGACUUCAUGGCCAAGGAGUGGCUAUCUUAAAAAAAAAAUUCUUGCUCAGCGCCCCAAAAAGAAAAGUCACAGAAAAGUCAUUCUUGUCGCAUGAUAUUCUUAGAUGGAGAGGAAGACAAAACAAGUAUGGCACCAUCAAAUUUCCAACAAAAGAAACAAGUGGAUCACAUUCAACCGAAUCAAGGUUUCUCUGGACAAAUUCUCAGGGUCCAUUGGCCAUAUGAUCUUCGAGGUACUAAGAGAAACUAACUUCGCAGAAGCUCAAGGUUUAACGAUUUUGUGCAUAAUUUACACAGUUGACGGUAGAAUCUCAUGCGCUGAUAUAAACAAGAACCCACCAAAUGAAGCUGAGAAUGAUCACCUGGGUAUGCUACCAAAAGAACAUAUCAGGGUCAUUGCAGGUACGAGCGUGGGGUUGGUUGCAGCAAUAACACGCGAAACUAAAUGGUGAAGAAGAGGAAUUGCUACUGCAAAACCCGCCAGAAGAAGCACAAGUCGGGUUUCAGGAUGGUCACUAUUCUGAGUAUCAAACCCUUGAUUCAGAGCUUCCUGCAAGCUGGCGCGCUCUGAAGAAUGGGAACCUUGAUACUUGUGACGCAGCUGGAAACAUCAAACGGUCGCUCUCUGUCCAAGAAGAUGUCAUCCAUGAAGAAGGCUGACUUCCUGACGACAUCAUAGAAGCACUUGAACUCGUUGCUUAUGUUCUUCAUUGUGUCCAAACAUCCGUGGAACAUGCUGAGGCUCUUAGCGGCUGGGGUCAUAUGGAAGAGAGUGGAAUCCAUUACGCUAGUAUUCCUAAACUCGUGCAAGCACGUACCCUCCAUCAGAUCCAUCCUAGCGAUUGUCAUCGUACGAAGAUGUUGAUCAAUCUUCAUUGUGUCCAAACAUCCGUGGAACAUGCUGAGGCUCUUAGCGGCUGGGGUCAUAUGGAAGAGAGUGGAAUCCAUUACGCUAGUAUUCCUAAACUCGUGCAAGCACGUACCCUCCAUCAGAUCCAUCCUAGUGAUUGUCAUCGUACGAAGAUGUUGAUCAAUCUUGAGGACUCGAUACUUCUGCUGUUGGUACUCAAAGAUAGGGAAUUCGUCCUCAUAGUACUCGACCCUUAAUGCUGGAAGUCCACAGAAUUGGGGUUGGCCGCCUCCCCAGAAAGGAUAAGUAAUAUUUGUGAUGGUUCUGCAAUCAAAAGAGCAGCGGCAUUCGGUAUAGUGGACAUCGUGGUCUCCCUCACAUAAAAGAACUUGUGGGACGAUGAGGACAACAAGGAUGAAGACGAGAAGGGAGCGUGAAGGGGAGGAGAGAAGGAGAGUGGCUGCGUCGCCCAUUUGAGUAAGUUCAUGCUCUCAUGGAUGGAGAAUAAAUUGUGGAACGAGUGUUUAGAGUUCAGAGGGGCAAGUCGUAUUCACUUUCUCCGGACUCAAGUGUGAAAGAGAUGGAUGUCGUUAAUUCUUCCUCAGUGUAAUAUAGAAAACUAUUCUGACCAUCGACUUUGACGGAGAUCAGUUUCAGUCUUCUGAAAUUUUGUGGAAGGAAAUCAAAGGGACGGCUAUCUAGCAUUGAAACUGGGGCUGGGGGGGAAGUGAUGAGGAAGACAGAGGAAACAUGCGAAGCAAUUUCCUCCCCUGUUCUUCCUAUGUAGUUGAAAUUGAGAAGUGCAACCUUUUUUCAAGGUUCUCACUGUUGAAAAAGUCUAGCCCAUUUGAGGGGUCAAGAGUUGAUGUUGUGGAAAUUUAAGAACAAGUCAAACCAAAAUUUUAGGUUAAUUGACUUAUUGGAACGCAAUCCAGUUUAAAUUACUGGUCCAAGAUGUGAAAUUUUACGGUAAACUCAGAGCAUCUUCGCUCAUUGUAUUUAAAUCAUCGGAUCUUGGGAGUCACAGAUAUCGACAAAAUGAUCGAACAAUUAAGGCAAGGAAGGUUUUAGAGGAUUGGAUGAUAAAGUUUGUCAACUUGGGAAUCUAAAUUGUAACACGAUCAUGUAUGCCAUGGCGAGGAUGACUGCACGUCGUUUGAGGGAAGGGUAUGCAAAGCAAAUUGAGAUUGUGAACCUUUAGGGGCAGGGGCGGGUCGUUUUCCAAUUAACAAGCGAAGGGAAGGGUAUGCCCAGCAAUCAUUCUCAUUGAACGGCUUUAGCGAUUUGAAAACCACAUAUUGGGUGAGAGUAAGCAUACGUACCCGAAGGGACGAUUCUCGAAGGGAAAUUUGCCGGUAUUGGCGAUCUGUGGCAGGUCGUCGGAUAGGCACCGUCAGGGCAAAAACAAUUGAAUUUUUGCCCUGUCCAGUCGUACCUACAUCUUCUCCCGGAUUUAUUGCAACUUUCGCACUGCGAAGUGUCGAGAAUCCAGGUGAUCUCAAAGCCUUCAUUCAGAAUCUUACUAAUCGCAGCAUGAAUAAUAAAAGCACUAUCACCGCUGUCCUCUGGUGGUGGUGAUAGACCUGGAGAUUCACUUUGUGGAAUCGGGACAAGGACACUGAAAUUGCAUAGCUUGUAUAGUGGUUUUGCAAGGUCAGCAUCGAGAGCAGAGUAGCCAUCUCCAGACUCGGGACAAGAGAACCGAUAAGGUUGAGGGAUGGGUGAUGAAUCGCAAUCGUAGAAUGAGGUGGAAUUGUGGUCGCUGGAAGUGUAGUUGAAGAGAUUCAAGUCUAAGGUGGUGUUAACAAAUGGUUGAAGACAUAUCUUUUGAUAAAUCCUUUCUCACCACCUCAAGGAUCUGCGCGCUCCAAUCUAUGUGGAUCACCCGAUAUUCCAAGGACUCCAUGGACAGGGUCGGGUCUCCAUGGACAGGGUCGGGUAAUGUCUGUCACAGCCGACCUCGUACCUUGGAUGCCCACGGUAACUUUUUUGCUCUUUAUGCCAGAAAAGAUAGCUGAUUUCUUGAUCUCCGCAAGGAUAGGGAACGCACUCUUGGAACGGCUUGAUGUCGCCGGAAACUUUUCUGACUGAUGACUUUGAUUGAGAUCAGUUCAGUCUUUUGAAAUUUCGUGGAGGAUGGAAAUCAAAGAAAGGGAUGGCUAUCGACCGUUGAAACUGGGUCUAGGGGUGGAAGUGAUGAGGAAGACAGAAGAAACAUGCGAAGCAAUUUCCUUCGGAGUUCUUCCUAUGUAGUCGAAAUUGAGAAGUGAAACCUUUUUCAAGGUUCUCAUUGUAGACAAAGUCCAGCCCAUUUGAGGGGUCAAGAGUUGUUGUCGUGGAAAGUAACGGACAAGUCAAACCUAAAUUUUAGGUGGAUUGACCUAGUAGUUAACACAUUCCGAUUUAAAUUACAAUAACCUCAAAGCAUCUUCACUUGUCAUAUUUAAACCGUUGGAUCUCAUGGGUUUGCAGAUAUUGACCUAAUGAUCCAACAGUUAAGGCGAGGAAGGUUCUUGAGAAUGGGGUGAUAAAGUUUUAGGACUUAAAAGUCUAAAUUGUAACACGAUCGUGCAUGUCACAGUAAGGAUGACUGCACUUCGUUUGAGGGAACGACAUGCCCAGCAAUUCUUCUCAUUGAACAACUUUUAGCUAAUUGAAAAACACAUGUUAGAUGAGAGUAAGCAUACAUACUUGAAGGGACGAUUGCCGGUACUGGCGGUAUUGAAGGGAUGCUUGCCAGGAUUGCGUUCUCUGGCAGGUUGCCAGAUAGGCUGCAUCACGACAAAAACAAUUGAAUUCUUGCCUUGUCCAGUCAUACCCGCAUCUUCCCCCUGAUAUAACGCAGUCUUCGCACAGCGAUGUGUUGGCAAUCUAGGUGAUCUCAAAGCCUUUAUUGAGAAUGUCGCUAAUAUCAUCACCAAAGUCGAUGCCCGCCGAAGGUGGUGGUAAACCUAUAGGUUCACUUUUAGAAAUCGGGACAUGAACAAUCGAACUACAUGGCUUGUGCAGUGGGUUUGAUAGGUUUACACCGAGAACAAAGUAAGCCAAAUUGACACUCGGGACAAGAGAACCGAUAAUAAGAUGGAAGGAUUGGCCACGAGUCGCAAUUGUAAAUUAAGGUGGAAUUGAGGUUAUUGGAAGUGUAGUUGAAGAGAUUUAAGUCUAAAGUGGUUUCGUUAUAUGUUUCAAGACAUAUAUUGUCCGAUACAUCUGACCUCGCCACCACAAGGAUCUGCACACUCCUAUUCAUGUAGAUCACUCGAUAUUCCUGAGACACCAUGGAUAGGGUCGGGGUAUAGCCGUCACAGUCAAGCUCGUAUCCUGGAUACCCACAGAAGCUUGGUUGCUCUAUGUGCCUGAAAGGAUAGCUGAUUCGUAUAUUUCCACAAACAAAAGGAGCGCAUUCUUGGAAUGGCAGGAAGUUGCCAGAAGCUCGCAUGGGGAAGUGAAUUUGGAGGGAGAUGAAGAAGAGUAAGGAGAGAGAGGAAAAUGGCGUGGUGAGAUCCAUCCGAAGGGAGAUGGUGUUGGAACAAAACAUGGAGGGGUACAUAUGAAGGAACAUGGAGGAGGGAAAUGAAAAAAGAUGGCUCUAGCAGAGGAGGUGAUGGGGAAGAUGCGGCCCAGAAACAUGCAAAUCAAUUUUCUCCGGAUUUCUCCCCAUGUUGUUAAAAUCGAAAGGUGAAAACUUUCUCCUAGGUUCUCACUAAAAAAAUCAAGCUCUUUGAGGGGUCAAGAGUUCGUGUCAUGAGAAGUAAAGAAUAUGUCAAACCUAAUUUUUUCAUUACUUGACUUAUUGGCUAAUGUCCGAUUUAAAAUACUUAUCCAUGAGGUGAAAUUUUACGUUAAGCUCAGAGCAUCUUCACCCGCUGUAUUUAGACCGUCGGAUCUGGUGGGUUCGCAGAUACUGACCUAAUGAUCCAACAGUUGAGGCAAGGAAGGUUGUUGAGAAUAAGUGAUAAAGUUUUAGGACUUAGGAGUCUAAAUUGUAACAUGAUCAUGCUGUGGCGAGGAUGAGACGACUGCACUUCAUUAAAUUAGAGGGAAGGGCGUGCCCAGCAAAAUGAGAAUGUCAGGCUUUUAGGGGCAUGAGCGGGUCGUUUCCAAAUAACAAGCAAACCCAGCCAUUUCUCCCAUGGAAGAACAUUAGCUAAUUGAGAACCACAUAUUAGGUGAGAGUAAGCGUAAAUACCCUGUUUGCCGCAAGUCGUUGAAUGGACUCUGUCAAGGCAAAAACAAUUGAAUUUUUGCCUUGUUUAGCCAUACCCGCAUCUUCCCCCUAAUUUAUUGUAAUUUUCACACUGUGAUGUAUUAACAAUCCAGGUGAUCUCAAAGCCUUUCUUCAGGACCUCACUAAUAGCACCACUAUCAUCCUUGCCUGCGCAAGGUGAUGGUAGAGCGUGAGCCGCGCUUUUUGAAAUCGGGACACGAACAUGUAAGUGCAUGACUUGGAUAGUGGGUUUGCAAGGUCCAAACCGAAAUAAAAGUCGUCAUAUUGAGAAUCAGGACAAGAAAACUGAUAAAGUAGAGGGGUCGACCAUGAGUCGCAGUGGAGUAUGGUGAAAUUGAGGUCAUUAGAAGUGUAGUUGAAGAGAUUCAAGUCUAAAGUGGCUUCAUUAUAUGUUUGACGACAUAUGUCUUCCCAUAAAUCCAUCCUUGCCAUCUCAAGGAUUUGUGCACUCAUAUUCAUGUGGAUUACCCGAUAUUCCAGGGACUCCAUGGACAGGGUCGGGUAAUGUUUGUCACAGCCGAGCUUGUAUCCUGGAUAUCCACAGUAACUUUGUUCUCUUUAUGCCUGAAAAGAUAGCUGAUUUCUUGACCUCCGCAAUUAGGAGCGUACUCGUGGAACCGCUUGAAGUAGCCGGAAGCUGGUACAGGGAAGUGAAUAUGGAGGGAGAUGAUGAAGAAGAGCAAGGAGAGAGAGGAACACAACAUAAUAAGAUCCACCUGGAGGGAGAUGGUGUUGGAGCAUAAAAAGGAGGAUACAUAUAAAGAAAGAGGAUGCAGAGGAUAAAGAAUAAUGCUGCUUUUGGGAACGGCUUGACCCCAGUGCACUAACGAGAAUCACUUGAUUUGGCCUCCCGAAGACCAAGACUUUGGCGCGGGGAGACAAAAGCUGAGUAGAAAAGGAGAACAAGGCACAUGGAAACAAAGCCAAGUAGCUUGAACCGCUGGCUAAUUGCGAACUUGACUUGAGGAGGACUUGGAAUAGUUUUCCCCAUUUCCCAAUUCCUACACGCAGGUGCAGCCCCAACUAAUCAACGAGCUUUGCCAAUCUCGUAGACAAUUCAAUCGAGGACAAUUCAAUAAGGACCUCAAGAACAUAGUUAGCAGCGUUCUAGACAGACGCAGGGCCAUUGCCUAGACUAGAAAACAGAAGGGGAUUGGACCCUCAAAACUGAGGCGGCUAAGCUGUUAUGUGGAUGAUUUUCCCUUAAGCUUUGCGUAGUCAUCUUUUUUGAACUGAUUUGAUUGAUGAUAUCGAUGCAUCAUCAGCCCAAAGAAGCGACCUGGUUAACAUCAGUGGAUCCCAAAGACCCAUGAUUCCUCGGCCAAGCUGAAUUGGGCCUAUCUCUCGUGAUUUAUGAUGCUAAUGACUCACAUUGGAUCUUUAGCUAGGAAGCAAUAAACUUGCCAUCUUUUUCACAACAGAAAUUGCUCAGGUUCAUAAAUCGCUUAGGCCUCAAGUAUUGAAAAUAAGACUCCUGCUCUUGGUACUCAAAGAUGAGGAAUUCGUCCUCAUAGCACUCAAUCUUGCACAGAAUUGGGGUCGGUAGCCUCCCCAGAAAGGAUAAGUUAUAUUAGCGACGAUUCCACGAAUCAAAGAGCGGUGGCAGUAGUAUAGGGGACAUUAUCAUCUCCCUCGCAUAAAAGACUUGUGGAACGUUGAGGCCGACGAGGACGAUGACUAGGAUGGAGUGUGAAGUGGAGAAUAGAAGGAGAGUGGCUGCGUCACCUAUUUGAGCAAGUUCAUGCUCUCAUGGGUGGAGAAUAUCAUGUGGAAUGAGGGUUUAGAGUUCAGAGGGGCAAGCUGAGGAUGGAGAAAUUCUUAUUUUAUUCAAUUGCUUCGGAUUGAAGAGUGAAAGAAAUGGAUGUGGUUAAUUCCUCUUCAGAAUAAUAGAGGAAGCUAUUCUGACCGUGGACUUUGACCGAUAUCAGUUUCAGUCUUCUAAUAUAUCGUGAAGGAGAGAAAUAAAAAAAGAUGGCUAUCAAACAUUGAAACUGGAAAGUAAAGAGGAAGAUGUGGCCCGGAAACAUGCAAAGCAAUUUCCUACGGAUUUCUUCCCAUGUUGUUGAAAUCGAAAGGAGAUUCUUUAUUUAUUUAUUUAUUUUUUUUAAUUUUUUUUCACGUUUUCAACGUGAAAAGGUCUAGCCCAUUCGAGGGGUCAACAGUUCAUGUAUGUGAGAAGUAAAGGACAAGUAAAACCUAUUUUAGGUUAAUUGACUUAUCGGCCAACACAUUCCGAUUUAAAUUACCUUUUCUCGAUGUGAAAUUUCACGGUAAAUUCAGAGCAUCCUCAUUCAUUGUAUUUAAACUGUUGGAUCUUGAGGGUAUGCAGAUACCAACCUCAUGAUCCAACCGUUUGGCGUGAUAAAGUUUUGGGACUUGGACUCUAAAUUGUAUCAUGACCAUGUCAUAGUGAAGAUGAGAUGACCGCACUUCAUUAUAUUAGAGGGAAGGGCAUGACCAGCAAAAUGAGAUUCUCAGGCUUUUAGGGGCAUGAGCGGGUAGUUUCCCAAUUAACAAGCAAAGGAAAGAGUAUGCGCAGCAAUCUAAUCCCUCUCAUGGAACAACUUGAGCUCAUAAAAGACCAUAAAUUAAGCAACCGUGACUUUAGCAUACAUACCUGAAGGUCCGGAGCAGGUCGUUGGACAGGCUUUGUCACGGCAAAAACAAUUGAAUUCUUGUCCCGUCCAGCCAUACCCGCAUCUCCCCCCUGAUUUAGUGCAAUUUUCGCACAGAAAUGUGUUGGCAAUCCAAGUGAUCUCAAAGCCUUUUUUCAGGAUAUCUCUAAUAAUAUCCCUAAUGUUAGCACUACUGCCGCUCUCAGGUGUUGAUGGUGGACUUGAAGCUUCAAUUGGUAAAAUUGGGACGAAGACACUGAAGUUGCAUCGCUCGUGUGGCAACUUUUCAAGGUCCGCAUCAAGAGCAAAGUAGCCAUGUCCAGACGCGGGACAAGAGAACCGAUAAGGUGAAUGGGUUGACGAUGAGUUGCAAUUGUAGAAUAAGGUAGAAUUAAGGUAACUGGAAGUGUAGUUGAAGAGACUAAAGUUUAAGGUGGUGUCGACAUGUGUUCCAAGACAUAUAUCGUUCGAUAAAUCCAUCCUCUCCACCUCAAGGAUCUGCUUGCUCCUAUCCAUGUGGAUCACCUGAUAUUCCAGGGACUUCAUGGACAGAAUGGUCAGGUUAUCUCUAUCACAGUCAAGCUCGUAGCCUGGAUACCCACAGUAACUUGGUUGCCUAACAUGCCUGAAAGGAUAGCUGAUUUCUUGAUCUCCGCAAACAAAAGAAGCGCACUCUCGGAACUGUUGGAAUUCGCCGGAAGUUGGCACCAGGUAGUGAAUAUGGAGGGAGAAGAUGAACAAGGAUAGAGAGAAGCACGACAUGGUAAGGUCCAUUCGAAGGGAGAAGGUGUUGGAGCAAAACAAGGAGAAGGGUAAAUGUAAAUGAAGAGGAUGCAGAGGAUAAGAACAAUGCUGCUUUGAGAAUUAUUUGAACCCAAUGCACCUAUGAGAGCCACUUGAUUUGGACUCCCCAAAGACCGAGACUUUGGCGCAUUGAGACAAAAGCUGAGAAGAAAAUAAGAAGAAGGCGCGUGGAAACAAAGCCAAGCAGCUUGAGCUGCUGACUAGUUGUAGACUUGACUUAAGGACGACUUGGACUGUUAUUACCCAUUUUACAAUCUGUAUACGCGGCCCUCAACUACUCAACGAGCUUGGCCAAUCUCCUUGACAAUUCAAUCGAGGACACUUCAGUAAGGACCUCGAGAACAUAGUUAGCGGCGUUCCAGACAGAUACAGGGCCAUCGCCUAGACUAGAAAAAAGAAGGGAUUGCAGCCUCAGAACCAAGACGACUAAACUGUCAUCUGGACGAGUUUCUCUCAAUUUUGCCUACAGGUGAGCCACAAAGACCGCCCAGACCGGGAACCGCCCGGUUCUGGUGGUUUCCUGAGGGCCAGUCCAGUUCCUGGUUCCAUUUAUGAUUUCCGGUUCGGUUCCCGGUUCCAAGGAUGGACCGCCUGGAUCGGACCGGACCGACUCUUUUUAUUUAUUUAUUUUGUUAUUUCUUAAAAAUAUUCAGAGAACAGCAACCCUCAUGCUCGUUCUUCCCUCUCGGCUCUCACGCCUCUUUCCCUCUCUACAUGGCGGAGGACAGCGUCGUCCAACGUCUGGAGGAGAAGGGCCUUCUCGAUGAGCUCGGUGUGGUGGGAGUCGAGUCGAGGAGAGCGACGAGGAUGGAGUUGGACCUCAUCUGACCCCUAAUGGAGUUGCGGGGGGCCGAUGGGUCAAUGCGGAGGAGAUAGGAGGGGGAAGACACCACAGACGCGAGGAUCCAUGAGGGCUCGGGAGCGAGCUCGGAGCGAAUUGGAGGUGUCCUCAUCGUCUCUUUAAAAUGGAGGACUCGUCACGGUGGUUUUUGGGGAAGAGGAGGGGAAGUGGGUUUUGCGCGGAGAAGAGAGAAAGAUGGAGAUGGUACAGGAGGGACUGAGUCACGGUGACUUAGAGAGAGAGAGAGAGAGAGAAUAAAAGUAAAUGUCUUUGAUGUGAUAGAGACUUGUCAGGAAGUAAAUCAAAUGUCAUAGAGAGAGAUCAGACAGCUGGGACUGGAAGUGGCGACCACGCUACGCUCUUUUUCCUUUUUUUUUUUUUUUUUUUUUUGAGAUGCCACUCUCUUCUUUAAAAUUUGACCGGUUCCAUGGACUGGACCGGACCAGUAUGGUCCGGUUCUUGAUUUUAGGACCAAUUAGUCUAAUCUCCAAUCUCCAAUUUUGGGGACCGGUUUCUCUCGAUUCAGUUUUCAAUUUCAUCUUGGAAUUGGAUUGGACUAGAACCGAUCAUUCCUAAUUUUGUCCAAUCAUCUUUUUUUGAACUAAUUUGACUCAUGAUAUCGACAUAUCAUCAACCAAAAGUGCAACAGGGAUAUAAUCAAUGAAUUGAAAAGGGUCUCAACUCAUCAGUCGAGCCAGACUAAGACCAUCUCUUGUGAUCUACGAUGACGAUCUACAUUGGGAUCUUUAGCUAUAGGGAGCAAUAAGCAAAGGUAGCCAUCUUUUUCUUAACAAAGAUUGCUAAGGCCCAUCAAGUCUCAAGCAAAGAAUAUAACAACACUUUCUAGGCACCAAUUCCUCGGGAGGAAAAUGAUUAUGAUCAAAGCAAUAAUAGCCAAAAAAGCCAAAAAGACAUCUUUCUAAAAAGAAACCACCACCUUGUAAUGAUAGACCCCAUUCCAAGUUGCGAGUUGCAAUGAGUAAAUGGAACAUAAUUUCCAAAUUUCGCUCAACCAAAAAAUUUAUUGCUUCAAUUUGCUACAUGCGAAUCUUUAUACUUUAAAUAUCACAAGAAAAUUCACUUUAGCUUAGGGCAUCGAAGUAAUUCACGUAUCUUUUCUACGGAAUUGAUAUUAAACUUUAUGCACAUAAUCCCCAUUCACCUAUUAAUUUAAGUUUUUGGAUUGGGCCUUAAAUAAGGUAUCCCAGUUCACACAUUUAUUUCGCAUGUACCAUUCCUCACUAGUUAAAUUAUAUGUGUGGUUUUAAUUUCCACAUGAGAAUGGUACCAAAAUAACAGUUUUGUUUGUCUAUGAAUCCAUAUUAUAUAUAUAUAUAUAUAUAUAUAUAUAUAUAUGAGUAAUCUCGCUCUAUUUGUUAAUUUAAGUUUUCAUAGAGGACCUGUUGCACAGAAUAUACUAGUAGGUAUAAUUACCAUUCAAAUUUUGAAAAGUAUUGAUUAAGAAAUUGACGAACCUAAAUAUAUAAUUUUCUAAUUCUAAAAGCUGCUGAAACAUCGAAGUAUGCCAGAAAUCAGAUCACGCGCAACUAAGAAGUGACAAGCAUCGAAAAAGGCAAUCAUGGCGAUUGGCAAACAAAGAUGCAAAACCAAUUAUGAAGAAAGAAAGGAAACGGACAGACACAAACUUCAAUCUUACCUUUGCAAAACGAGCCGUCCGUGUGAUUUGACCCGUCCUCGCAGAAGCACAGCAACUGCUCAUUCUGGUUGAACGCGCACCGCUCGCCGGAGUGCUUGCAUGUGCCGCACUCCCUCACCGCCGCCCAGUCAAGUGCGAACCCCUCGCUCAUCGCCCCAGCGAGCUCGUCCCCCCCGUUCGCCGCCGUCACCUCCGUCCGCUUCACCGCCGCCACCACUGCCUCCUCGCAGCCCCACGCCUCACGAAUCGCCGCCGCCUUAUUGGGGCUCAUGUCCACGAACACAUACGACUGAUUAUCACCAGAUCGCAAGCAAUCGAUGGCCCUGGCGGGGUUGGGCGCCAACGGAGGGGUGCUGCAGUUAAAGAAGAAGGUGAGAUUGACAUCGGCGGAGUUGUAACCGAGCGGGAGCGAGUUGAUCGUGAGGUUAUGGCUGGCCCUGGGGCAUAUCCGAUCGGCGACGUCGAUGUCGACGAGAGUCAGGGUUUCGUCGACGUAGUUGAUUUUGGCGACGAGGUAGGUGUCGCCCGGAAGAGAGAUGGUCGGGGGAUUAUCGA